rnacentral:lncRNA from 1 species
CACUGGCUGGCCGCGCGUCGGCAAUGCGGGUGCGGCGCCGGAUUCGGUGGGCGCGCCCCCGCCGCUUUUGUGCCCGCUCGCUCGCCUGCAUUUCCGGCGUCGUUUUGAUGGUUCGAUCGGACGUACUGGUAGCAGCGUAGUGUGUGUGUGUCUGUCCAUGAGUACUAGCACUCUUAUUAAGCUGACCACCCCAUGUGGUGUCUGUACCGGUGCGGGUCGUGGUAGAGUUGAUGAGAUCUGGUAGGGGAUUCUUUCUUCCUUCUCGUAGCGGUGACGGUGUUCCGAGACAUAUAAUUAUGUGUUGUCGUUCCAACCUCGUCUGUUUGCAUGCCACUUUUGUGCUGCUAGCUCAUGAUCACCGCGUCUCGUGUUUGUCUUGGCGCUGGGCCUGUCGGUCACGGCCUCGCAUCAUCAGGGCGACCCACCCCACCCAUGAUGCCAUGCUCCGUGUUGAGCUUCUUUUGUGUGUGCAUGCACGGUGGAGUUUUGGGGGUUUCCGGUGCGGCGCGCUGCGGCGGCACAUGGAGCUUGGACGGAUGUCGGGCAAGGAGAAAUAUCGCGGCGACCGAGGGAGGGUGGCUCUCGUGCUCGGAGCCAGAGCGCGGAGUCCACUUUGAUCUGGACUCUUGUCUGUGGCGCACUACUGUAGUACAGUACUCCGACACCGACACAGGAAAGGCUCACGAGGCGCCCCACCGUGCCUCUCAUCUCCUCGGGGGCCGCGCGGUUGUGGUGGCGAAGAGGCCGCGAUGGGAUUGGCGGGCACGGGAUUGGGGUCUUGGGUGCGGUCUGGGGCAACGCAUGGAUCGAAGAGCAGUCUGGGACUCUCGGGCUGGUGUUGUGCCUUGGAGGUGGCACAUUUAGGGCAUGCUUGGAUAUGUUUUAGUCCCAUGAUUAAAAGUAGUGGGACUAAAACUUGCUAGUAGUCUCACCCAUGCUUGGAUUCAAAUACUAAAGAGACUAAAAUCUAGUUAUUGAGCAUUUAUUAUCGUCCAAAUCCUCCAAUCCAGAACUAAGGAGAGGAAUUAAAUGAGGAGAGAGAGAGCUAAUACAUAUUUUAGUAGGUUUCCCAUGACUAAAAGAUUUUAGCCUCAAGACUAGUCCUAGCCUCUCUUUAGUCAAGGGUGCUUGGAACUUUAGCCUCUAAAAGAGACUAUUUUUAGUCAGACUAAAAAUAGUUCCUUAUAUCCAAGCACCCUUUUAGCAAUUAUUAGGCCAACUCUUGCGUGACUUUCGUUUUGUCCGGAUUUUGUCCGUUUUGAUAGCGAAUUGGAGUCGUGUUCUGGGAUGCAGUGACCGUGCGUCCAGCGCGCGGCUGCAUCCGUUUGCCUCGUUCUGUUCGUUAUGGCCGAAAAUGCAUAUAUUCUCAUCAAAACUAGUUUGCACGUUCAAAUAUUUGUCUGAAAAUUAAAAUAGUUUUACAAUCCAAUUAAAAUUGUCCUUAAUAAAAAAGUUUUACAAUCAAAUCGAAAUUGUCUUGACUGAACAUAAAAUGAACCAAUACGUCUGCUGGUUGCCAAUGUGAUCCCACACAUGCUCAACCAAGUCAUUUUGAAGAUCCAAAUGACUGUGCCAAUCAUGCAUCUCAUGGUGGAAUUGCACAAAUUGUUUAAAUGUGGCCGGGUCUUGGUGCAGGGGCUCAAUAUUUUUACCUUGAUAAUCAAAUCCUUGGUCGAAGAUACUCUCAUCACGCUCGUCCUCGACGAUGAUGUUGUGCAUGAUCAUACAAGCAGUCAUCACCUCCCAAAGCUUCCUUUCAUCCCAUAACAGUGCAGGGUUUCGAACGAUACCCCACCGGGAUUGAAGCACACCAAAAGCACGUUCCACAUCCUUUCUAACACUUUCUUGCAUUUGGGCAAAUCUCUUUCUCUUCUCACCUUGGGGUUUUGAGAUUGUCUUCACAAAAGUUGACCACCGAGAAUAUAUACCAUCAGCUAGAUAGCAUCCCUUGUUGAACUGGUGGCCGUUGAUCUUAAAGUUGACAGGUGGGGAGUGGCCUUCUGCAAGCCUUGCGAAGACUGGAGAACGUUGCAACACGUUGAUAUCACUGUGAGAACCUGCCAUGCCAAAGAAAGAAUGCCAUAUCCAAAGAUCCUACGAAGCCAUCGCUUCUAAUAUGACAGUGCACACGUUGACAUGCCCCUUGUACUGGCCCUGCCAAGCAAAUGGGUAGUUCUUCCACUCUCAGUGCAUACAAUCUAUGCUGCCAAGCAUGUCUGGAAAGCCUCUAGUUGCGUUGGUCGCCAACAAUCUCUCUAUAUCAGCUGCAGUUGGCUGCCUCAAGUACUCUGGGCCAAACACCUCGAUCACAGCCUGGCAAAACUUGUACAUUGAUAUCAGACAUGUUGUCUCACUUAUAGGCACAUACUCAUCCACCAGAUCGCCUGGAAUUCCAUAUGCAAGCAUGCAGAUGGUCGCGGUGCAUUUCUGGUAAGAGGAGAAUCCAAGCUUGCCAAGGGCAUCCGUCUUGCACUCGAAGUAUGGGUCAUGAGCAACCAUUCCCUCUCGGAUACGAUUGAACACAUGCCUUGCCAUUCGAAAACGGCGACGGAAUUUAUCCGGCUUAAGGAGCAGGGUGUUGGAAAAGUAAUCAGCAUAGAGCAGGGCGUGGCCUCUCUCCCUAUUGCGGUUCAGGUUGGGAGCACGACCAGGGACUGACCCCCUGUACCGAGGAAGCUGCCGUUGAAUAUGGUCGUGAACGACCAAUGCAACCACCACAAGAUCAUCAUCAUCCGACGACGAAUCAUCCGAUGAACAAAGGAAGUGAUGGAAGAAAAACUCGUCUCCACUGUCCAUAUCUUUGUUGGCAAAAUGUCGAACACCUUGCGGUUGUGGUGGCGAAGAGGCCGCGAUGAUCAUCUCGAUGCAUCAGGGGUGGUUGCCGGCCGGCUACUGGCCGCUCUGGAGCUCUCGUCAGAAUCUGUCGCGGCCGCCGUGGUACGUCACCGGCUGUCGUGUCCCCUCUCCCACCGGCAAAGACGGUGACGGCCAAACCUCCUCCGAUCGACGGCCAAAACUAUGGCGAAGACGUGGUUUGGUAUGGACGGCCAGGGACUGCGCGGUGAGGAGGCGGCCGGAGAAUAGCGGCGGCGCCGACUGAGAGAGGGUGGAAGCGUUGGGAGCGAAGGGACUACUAGUGUCCCCGACAGGCGUGCCACGGGGAGGGGGACAAGGGCGUGCGUCGAGGCCGUCCGCGCGCGUCCGUUUCAUCCCAAACCGAGCGCAAGUUUGGGCCGGGGAUGAGUCGAAAACGGACGAAAUCCGAACAUUUGUCCGUUUGAGGCCGCGCAUUGGGCCGCGCUAUUUGUCCGUUUUACCCCAAAACGGACACACCCGGACAAAGAUAGGGUCGCGCGAUGGAGUUGCCCUUACAUCUUCCUCCCUCCCCUCUCGUUAGGGUUUCUCGUACUCUCGGCGACGGUGGCUGACCUCCCGUAGAGACUUCUCUCCCCUAUUGUCCUACCCUUCCGGCAAGGGCGGAGCCAGAAAAUUUGACCAUUGGGUUCACUCAUUCACUCUAUGAGAACUUUAUAUUAAUUUUUGAAGAUUAAAGUCUAAUUGCGACAAAAAUUAUAGCACCCAUAAACAAUAUAACAAUAAGAAAUACAUUAUCACAUAUUAUGUUGAAUUAAAAACUGAAAAGUGCAAGACAUACCUACGUCUAAUGGGUGACAUUGAGAUGCCUGUAUCAGAUAUCUGGAUCUGAUGACAGAGUUCUCUUUGAAAAAUACUGUUUGAUAGCCUAGAUCAGUCAAAGUCCAUCGAGAAAAACAAAUAAAAAACCUAGGGCAAAAAAAUACUAUAGUGCUAGGCAAAUAGUCUAGAUAGAACAUGUACAAGAGAGGGAAGAUGUGGCGGCGUAAUCUAGUUGCCAUAAUUUUUGGGCUACAGUUGUAGUUGUUGUGGAUCUGCAGCAACCUGCUUGCUGGCGGCGUGCGGCGGCCGAGGCACCGAGCAAGAGGAGAGUCGAUCAGGAGAGAUGCGAAUUUGAAAACGAACGGAUGAGGGAUUAUGCGUUCGGCUGCGUGUGUUUUCUAUAGGCUAAUCAUGGUCUAGGCCUAGGAAUGGACUAAUCGACAUUUGCUUAUGGGCUUUUUGGGCCCUUUAUUUAGCCAUCCACGUGAGGCCCUUUAUUUGAUGGGGUCAGUGACCAUUUUGUACUGGGUUCAAGUGAUCAAAUAAUAAGUACCUACACGCACGUAGCAGGCAAAUUCCGUUGGGUUCACUUGAACCCAACGCUUAUAGGCUGGCUCCGCCGCUGCCUUCCGGUGAUCUCUAAGGCCGUGGUGCCAUGGAGUUGUCGGGGGAUCGGCGAUGGCGUUAGGGUUCAUACCGCCCGCGGAUCCAGACAAUCUCGGGCUAGGGCAUCAUGGAAUCUUUUGCGUCAAGCUCGGGAACAAGCAAAUCGGAUCUUGAAGCAAUGAUGGUGGAGCUGGGGCUUAAGGAGGAUGAACUGCAGGAUGUGGUGGUGGAAGAAGGCGAGUUGCCAGGGGAGGCGACCCGCUGGAUGGCGAUCGUCAGGGUACACACCGACAAAUCCUACAGUCAAUACUGGUUUUAUAGGAAUAUGUGGGUAGCAUGGGAUCUGGCGCAAGAGGUGCAGAUCAGGCCGCUUGAGGAUAAUCUCUACACUCUGCAAUUCUCUUGCUUGGGUGAUUGGGAACGAGUGAUGGAAGAAGGACUAUGGAGUUUCAAGGGGAAGGCGGUGGCCCUCGCGGCGUAUGAUGGGUUCACGAAGCCCUCAUUGAUUGAACUAAACAAAAUUGACAUAUGGAUCCAGAUCCAUGACCUACCAGAUGGAUACUUCCCUAAAGUAAAGGCUCUUUCAUCGACAGUGGGCGAAUUCAUAUUUGCUGAACCCAAAUCGCAUGACUUUGAAGGUAACUUCGUUCGUGUCUGGGUGAGGAUUGAUGUGACGAAGCCCCUCAAAAACGCUGUUUCACUUGUGGUCAGAAAGAAGGAUUCUCUAGAACGAGUCAUAUUCAGGGUAAAGUACGAGAGAUUGUCGGAUUGGUGUGCUGUGUGCGGCAACUUGGGGCAUUUGUUUAAGGAAUGUCGUGACGGGAUUCAUCCUGCGAAGGCGUUGGUGUUCAAGGAUCUCGGGGCGAGCUGGUUCAGGGGAGGCCGUGGCAGGGGGCGCACUGGUAGAGAUGGAGGCCGUUCGACCAUGCAAAAUAACCCACUGUACAGCUAGGAACGAGAAAGCUCAGAGUAUGAUUCAGAUAAAGAUGUUGUUAUGGAGGAGGUAGAAAAGAACAGGAAUAGGGUAGCUUCUGGGGCUGCUCUCAUGAAUGAUCAACAUCCCCCAAGCCAAGCGGUACUGCCUAAAAUGAUGCUCUCGCUCCCUGCACCAACUGUUCCAGCAAGUCCUUCGUCCAAGCAGGAACCGAAGAGAACCAAGCCUAGCUGUAGCGACCAGACCUCAAACAGUCUAAUCUCUAUGCUCCGGUGUCAUCCCUGGAUCAGUAAUGCUGACACCACACAGUACUCGGAGGAUUUAUAACAGAGUAGCAAUCACACACUUAUUAUAUCGAGUGUCUCGAAAGAGAACUUAUUACAAUAAAUAUGGCUUAAGGCCAUCUAAUAACGAUAACAGCGGAAGGCUUGGAAGAUAAGUGAGGCCAUCAACUCCAACGACAUCAUUGAGUAUAGAACCACGACCUAAAACUCCUUAAUCAUCGUCUGAAAAGUCUGCAACAUUAACGUUGCAGCCCGAAAUGGGACAGCACAUGGAAUAUGCUGGCAAGGUAACACAUAGAGAGUAAUGGAAUGAAACAGCUAUACUAUAUGCAUAUUUGGCUGGUGGAAAGCUCUAUGGUUACAGUUGUGCGUAAAGCCAAUUUUUCCCUACUUCAAAGGAAUAAAUUUAUUUAACUAUCUUGGUAGUUGUUAAACAUUGAGAAUGGUUGACAUCAUUCUCAAUCCCAAUUAAACAUCAUCAUUAAACAUAACCCAACAAAAUUAAUUUAGAGUAACAUGUUGAGAUUCACAUGAUAAUUCAGGUACUAGAUACUCAAGAUGUCCAUAACCGGGGACACGGCUAACCAUGAUUAGUUUAUUACACUCUGCAGAGGUUUGCGCACUUCUCCCCACAAGACUCGAUCUCCUCCGUUGGAUUUCUCGCACUACAUGGUGUUUGAGAAACGGAUGACCAAGACAUAGUCUUUCAGAAGCGUUUGCACCUUAAGAUGGAUAGAUCGUACCACCUAUAACCCCUACAUCUGCUAGUUUAUCACUGUAAGAGUUCACACGACUUAGUCAACUAUGCUAGAGCCCAUAAUAGCUUGUGGCUGCACACGGAAGUUUCUAGUAUGAAUAGUCUCAUGAUCCCUUUGAGCCUGGGUGACGGUCCAAAAGAAAACAGGCAAGUCCUGGAAUACCCAGGUGCCUCAAUCCACCCAGAUGUGUGUUUAAGUUGUCACCUUAGAUAAACCAUUAAUUAAUCAAAACUCACAUCUGUCAUGGAUAUCACUCACCCAAACCACGUCUACUAGCAUAGCAUGGCAUAAUAAGCAAACGUAGAAGUAACUCCUAAAGGUUUGAUAAUAAACAGGUAAUAGGUACUACCUCAUCUACUUUCCAUCCCACAAUUUAGUUAGAUCCUAACCAUGCAAUGUGUGAGGAUUGAUCUAAUGCAAUAAAACUGGGUAGUAGGAAAGGUAUGAUCAAAGUGUUACUUGCCUUGCUGACGAUCCGGGAAACCUAGCGAUUCGAAGUAACAAGCGGCGCACUCCGGGUAUUCUAUCACAGACAAACAAACAAGCAUACAAUAAGUACCCAUCUAAUGCAUGUGUAAAACUCAAAUAGGAGAUCUAACCAGAAGGUUCAACUUAAGAACUCCGGUUGGCAAAAAGAAUCAAAUCGAACGAAGCAAUGAAAGUCAAACGGCGAAAGAAAACAACUUCGUUCUACUAAUCUGAAUCUAGGGCAAUUUUUAUAGUAGCAAAAUUUUGUUUAAGUUGGUUAAAUGGAUAUAGGGUUUUGAGAUGAAACUCUUGGUGCUUGAAUCGCCUGAAUCCAAUAAACGAGCGAAAAGUUAUACUAAAAUGAAAAUCGGAUCAGGAAUCGUGAUCAAAAAAAUCGCGGAUUUAAUCCGAGAAAAAGAAAAACGACGAAAGUUCGCUAGAACGAACGAACGGACAAAUGCUCACUAUUUAAAUAAAUCGGAAAAACCGUUCUAUUUAAAAAAACCGAAUCUAAAAAAACCAACGGAAAAACUGAACGGUUUCCCGAAAAAAAAUAAAAAAACGGCGCGGAUUUUGAGGCGGCGGCGAACCUCAGCGAGCGUGUGGCGGCGGCGGCAGCGGCGGCUGGGGCUGGGGCGGCUCGGGCUAGGGUCAGCUUUGGCUGGGCCUCCCCCCCGGCUUAAAUAGCCUAACGGGCCGGGAGUCCUAGUCGGACACGGCCCUAGGUCGGUUUUUUUUAAUAAUUACGCGAAGAAGAAAAAGUAAAAAGAAAUACUAAACGGACUCCAAAAAUUCCGAAAUAAAUUUUCACGGGCUUCUAAAAUCAAGCCGCACAAGAUAAACAUUUAUUUGGGACCUAAAUGCAAUUUUGAAAAACACACAUUUUUCCUAAAUUCAAAUAAAACACCGAAAAACUCCAAAAUAAAAACUUAUUUGAUUUUAUUAUUAAAUCCUCAAUAUUUCUUUAUUUUGGGAAAGUCAUUUUAUUCCCUCUCUCAUAUUUUUGUAAUAAAAAUAAUUGAUGAUAAAAUAAAUAAAAUCAAAUGAUCCUAUUCUCAAAAUUUGAGAAAACUCAAAUAUGAAAAUAACGAAAUCCCCAACUCUCUCUGCGGGUCAUUGAGUUGCGUAGAAUUUCUAGGAUCAACCAAAAUGCAAAAUAAAAUAUGAUAUGCAAUGAUGAUCUAAUGUAUAACAUUCCAAAUUGGAAAUUUGGGAUGUUACAAACCUACCCCCCUUAAGAUGAAUCUCGCCCUCGAGAUUCGGGUUGGCUAGAAAAUAGGUGAGGGUGGUCUUUGAGCAAAUCGUCCUCUCGUUCCCAGGUGGCUUCAUCCUCUGUGUGGUGGAUCCACUGAACUUUGCAAAACUUGAUAACCUUGCUGCGGGUAACUUGGCUGGCAAACUCGAGGAUCUUAAUUGGUUUCUUCUCGUAGGUCAAAUUGUUAUCCAACUGAAUAUUUUCCAAGGGCACUGUGUCUCUCAACGGUAUGUCAGCCAUCUCCGUGUGGCACUUCUUUAACUGAGAAACAUGGAACACAUCAUGAACUCCUGACAAUCCUUCAGGCAAUUCCAACUUGUAGGCCACUUCUCCCAUACACUCCAAAACUCGAUAUGGUCCUACAAAUCGUGGCGCUAACUUUUCUUUAACUCCAAAACGCUUUGUUCCCCAAAGUGGAGAUAUUUGAAGAUAAGCUCUAUCUCCGACUUCAUAAACUGUCUCCUUGCGUUUAGAAUCUGCAUAACUCUUCUGUCUGGACUGGGCUACCUUGAGCCUAUCGCGAAUCAAUUUCACCUUCUGUUCAGACUCCUUUAAUCAAGUCAGGUCCAAACAACUGGUGGUCUCCAACUUCGUCCCAUGACAAUGGUGUCCUGCACCUCCUUCCGUACAAAGCUUCGAAAGGGGCCAUCUUUAAACUAGUUUGAUAACUGUUGUUGUAAGAGAACUUUGCAUAUUGCAAAUUAUCGUCCCAACUAGAUCCAUAAUCUAGCGCACAAGCUCUCAGCAUAUCCUCCAAAAUCUGAUUGACUCUCUCGGUCUGUCCAUCUGUCUGUGGAUGAAAAGUUGUACUGAAUUCUAGCCUAGUUCUCAAAGUUUCCUGCAACUGCUUCCAGAACUUUGAGGUAAACUGGGUUCCUCUAUCUGAUACGAUACUCCUUGGAACUCCAUGCAAACAUACGAUCCUGCUCAUGUAUAUCUUUGCCAACUUAGCACUAGUGUAAGUGGUUUUUACUGGGAUGAAAUGAGCUACCUUCGUCAACCGAUCGACUAUAACCCAAAUUGAGUCAUAGCCUGAACGAGUCCUGGGUAAUCCCGUGAUAAAAUCCAUGCCUAACUUAUCCCACUUCCAUUGGGGUAUCGGCAAUGGUUGUAACAAUCCUGCUGGCUUCUGAUGCUCUGCCUUUACUCUCUGACAUACAUCACAAACUGCUACAUACUCCGCAAUAUCCUUCUUCAUUCCGGUCCACCAGAAAAUAUCCUUCAAAUUUAAAUACAUCUUGGUAUUUCCUGGAUGAAUUGAAUAUGGUGAAUCAUGUGCCUCUUGCAAAAUCAACUUCCUGAUCUCCGGGUCAUUGGGUACGUAAACGCGGUCUUCAAAUCAUAGGGUGUUGUGCUCAUCCUCACGAAAUCCUUUAGCUUUUCCUUUGCUCAGUUUCUCCUUUAUAGCGGCAAUCUCUUUGUCAGUUUUUUGAGCUUCCCUGAUUCUAUCCAUCAAAGUUGACUGAAUCUCUAAUGCUGCUACAUAGCCUCUCGAAACUAUUUCCACACAUAGUUCACGAAGAUUUUCUGCUAACUCCUUGGGUGUUUCUCCCGUCAUUAGCGUAUUGACAUGGCUCUUACGGCUUAAUGCGUUAGCUACUACAUUAGCCUUUCCGGGGUGAUAAUGCAAUUUCAUAUCAUAAUCCUUGAUGAGCUCCAACCAUCUCCUUUGUCUGAGAUUCAACUCCUUCUGUGUGAAAAUGUACUUCAAACUCUUAUGAUCCGUGUACACCUCACAAUGAUUUCCAAUGAGGAAAUGCCUCCAUGUUUUCAAAGCAUGCACUACGUCUGCUAACUCCAAAUCAUGCGUGGCAUAAUUUAACUCAUGAGGUUUCAGUUGUCUUGAGGCAUAUGAAACAACUCACCCUUCCUGCAUAAGCACUGCUCCAAGUCCUCGACGUGAAGCGUCGCAAUACACCUCAUAAUCUUUGGUCUGGUUUGGCAAAAUCAACACUGGUGAGGUAACCAAACGUUUCUUCAACUCCUGGAAACUAGCCUCACAUUCCUCCGUCCAUAUGAACUUGGUAUCUUUCUUCAACAAUUCAGUCAUAGGCUUCACAAUCUUUGAGAAAUUCUCAAUAAAUCUCCGGUAGUAUCCUGCGAGUCCAAGAAAACUCCGGAUCUCUCCAACUGUUGUUGGGGCUUCCCACUUGGUCACAGUAUCAACUUUUGUGGGAUCAACUGCUAUACCUUCUCCGGAUAUAACGUGUCCGAGAAAUCCUACUUCCUUCAACCAAAACUCACAUUUGCUGAACUUGGCAUAUAAUUGAUGUUCUCUGAGCUUUCCAAGUACCAAACGCAAAUGCUCCUUAUGCUCCUCUUCAUUCUUCGAGUAAACCAGGAUAUCAUCAAUGAACAUCACGACGAACUUAUCCAAGAACUCCAUAAAUACUUUGUUCAUCAUGUUCAUAAAAUAGGCAGGUGCAUUAGUCAGACCAAAUACAUAACGGUAUACUCAUACAGCCCAUACCUGGUGGUAAAAGCUGUCUUCGGAAUAUCUUGUUCUCGAAUCUUCAAUUGGUGGUACCCUGAUUGCAGAUCGAUCUUGGAAAAUACCUUAGCUCCUUGCAAUCGAUCAAACAGAUCAUUGAUCAUUGGUAGUGGGUACUUGUUCUUGAUCGUUACUUCAUUCAAUCCUCGAUAAUCAACAACCAUCCUUAACGAUCCAUCUUUCUUCUCCACUAGUAGUACUGGCGAUCCCCAAGGUGAAGAACUUGGGCCAAUAUAUCCCUUAUCCAGUAACUCCUUAAUCUGCUUCUUAAUUUCCACCAAAUUCUUUGCUGGCAUCCUAUAUGGUCUCUUUGAUAUUGUCCCUGUGCCUGGCAAUAGCUCAAUCAAAAACUCAAUAUCUCUAUCCGGUGGCAUGCCUGGCAACUCCUCUGGAAAUACUUCAGGGAAAUCCCUUACCACUGGUACUUCCUCCUGCACAACUCCUGUUAGGCAAUUCACUUGAGUCCUCUUUGGCACAUGCCGGGAUACAUACUUGAUCCUUCUCCCUUCUGGGGUGGUAAGCAAAAUUGACUUACUAGCACAUUCAAUAUUCCCUUCAUACUUUGAUAACCAAUCCAUGCCUAAUAUCACAUCCAAUCCUUGAGAUUCCAAUACUAUUAGGUCUGAGGGAAAAACAUAGUUACCAAUCCUUAAUGGUAACCGAUCACACCAUAGACUAGCCACAUACUCUGCUCCAGGCGAGGUUACUAACAUGGUUGACCUAAGGGCUUGGGUUGACAGGUUAUACUUAUCCACAAAUCCCCUUAAGAUGUAUGAAUGUGAUGCACUAGUAUAAAAAAAACGAGUGCAAUAACUGACUUAACCAAAAACUUACCUAUUACUGCAUCGGACUGAGCUUCAACCUCCUCCACGCUAACGUGGUUCACCUGUCCCCUGUUGAAAGGGUUCGGCUUCUUUCCAGAACUUCCAUUGCCAUUUUGGCCUUCAGGACAUUCAUUGGCAUAAUGUCCGGUCUUCUGACACUUAAAGCAAGUGACUUGGCUCAGGUCCUUCUUGGCUGGGGUUGAUGGGUUGGUGCGAUUCUGGCCGUUGCUUCCUCCAUUGCCAUUACCAUUCUUGGUGCCAUUGUGAUUAUGCGAGCUACCUCCUCCAUGGGUAUGCUAAAAAUGUCCUCCCGGUCUAGGGGUAAAACGUGGCUUCUGAUGAGCUCCUGAAUUGUACUUUCCUUGUCCAUACUUCCUCUUGCGAUUCUCAAUUUGCUGCUGCUUGCCUUCAAUAAUAAGAGCACGAUCUACCAACUUCUGGUAGUUGUUGAAGGUUGCUACCAUCAACUGCAUGCUCAACUCAUCAUUCAGUCCUUCCAGAAAGUUCUUCUGCUUAGCUGCAUCCGUAGCGAUGUCAUCUGGGGCAUAACGUGCUAACUUAUGCAAGUCCUCCACAUACUGGUCAACUGUCCGUCCUCCUUGGCGCAAGUUGCGAAACUCACGCUUCUUCAUGGCCAUAGCUCCUGCUGAAAUAUGGGCAGUACGAAAAGCCUGCUGAAACUGGUCCCAUGUGACAGUGUCGACAGGGAAAGUGGCUGUGAAAUUCUCCCACCAUGAUGCUGCAGGUCCUUCAAGUUGAUGUGCGGCAAACUUCACCUUCUCCGCAUCCGUACAUCCUGUUGUGGUUAACUCCCUAGCUGUCUUGCGGAGCCAACCAUCUGCUACUAUCGGCUCGGUGCUACUGAAAAACACCGACGGAUUUAGCCUAAGAAAACGGGCUAAGUGGUCAAUAGGUGAUGGUGGUGGUGGGUUGUUGUUGUUGUUCCCCUGAUUCUGAUUCUGGACUAGCAACUGCAUCAAUGUGUUCUGCUGCUGGAUCAACUAGGUGAGCUCCGGUAGAAAGGCAAAUCCGGGGUCAUGUCUCGGAGGCAUCUGAGGGUUUAGAAAAGAUGAGAUGUAAGAAUGGAGGGGGUCUAAAGAGAAAACACUACCCAUAUGCACAUGAGGCAAAAACAAACAAUUCACUUCAUUCAAUCAAACAAGGCAUACAAUCGAUCUAUCUAUCGCAAAAAUGCUCGGACUACUAUAUUUACAUGGUGGACUACUACUACUGAUGAGGUGGUCUACUAGAAAUAUUUUUCGGUUAUAGACUCCAUGAUAUCUGCUCCAGCUUCAUCAACAUAGUCAUCAUCGCUACUAUCCAGAUCUGAAUCGGUGUCGUCGAUGAUGAUGUAGUCUUCCGGGCUAACCUCCUUGGGUUCUUCGUCUUCAUCUACUGGUGUAGGGCCUCCCAUAAAUAUUCCAAUCUUCUUGAUCAGGUUGUCAUUCUUCUCCAUCAUUACUUCAAUUUCUUCUUCAUAAUCUUCACGUGUAGUCUUGAGUUCUUCCUCCAGUUCCUUAAUUCUAGUCUUAGCCUUCUUCAGAUCUAUCAUGUCGGCGCACAUCUGGUUCUCCUGUUGUCGAAUGUGCUGGUUUAGCUCCUGGAUAAAAGCUACGAUGGAUCUAUCCUUCCUGGUGCUGAUCAUCUCCCAGUGUUCAUCUCGGCGCCCACAAAUCUGGUAGAUAGUAUCCUUGAGAUCCUUGCGGUAGACUUCUCCAAUGCGUCCCAUGGCGAUGUGAGCUGCCAUGCUCUUUCCUAGACUCCAAGUUGGUGCAUCAAAAGAAAACUCUAUGGGCUCAGUGACUGGCAUGAACGUCCUUCCUGGAACUUGAACUUGAAUCAUCCAGCGCACUUCUUCAGGUAAAGUGGCGUUGUAGGUUCCGAUGAAGCUUGGUACUCCUAUGUUCAGGUAUCUAGUGACUUCCUUCAAGUGACGUUCAAAGGGUGUAUCUUCAUUCGGUCGUGUGAACUUGUUCCUUGCAUCCGCCAUCCUAAAUGAGUAGAAAAGAUGAGAAGUCAGAAGAGAAGAGAAUGGAUAGUGAUCUAGGUCUUUUAGCUUAGUGGUCGUGUCCUACAAUCAACUUGGCUCUGAUACCAUCUCUCUAGUGACCAGACCUCAAACAGUCUGAUCUCUGUGCUCCGGUGUUAUCCCUGGAUCAAUAAUGCUGACACCACACAGUACUCGGAGGAUUUAUAACAGAGUAGCAAUCAUACACUUAUUACAUCGAGUGUCUCAAAAGAGAACUUAUUACAAUAAAUAUGGCUUAAGGCCAUCUAAUAACGAUAACAGCGAAAGGCUUGGAAGAUAAGUGAGUCCAUCAACUCCAACGGCAUCACUGAGUAUAGAACCACGACCUAAAACUCCUCAAUCAUCGUCUGAAAAGUCUGCAACAUUAAUGUUGCAGCCCGAAACAGGUCAGCACAUGGAAUAUGCUGGCAAGGUAACACAUAGAGAGUAAUGGAAUGAAACAGCUACACUAUAUGCAUAUUUGGCUGGUGGAAAGCUCUAUGGUUACAGUUUUGCGUAAAGCCAAUUUUUUCCUACUUCAAAAGAAUAAAUUUAUUUAACUAUCUUGGUAGUUGUUAAACAUUGAGAAUGGUUGACAUCAUUCUCAAUCCCAAUUAAACAUCAUCAUUAAACAUAACCCAACAAAAUUAAUUUAGAGUAACAUGUUGAGAUUCACAUGAUAAUUCAGGUACUAGAUACUCAAGAUGUCCAUAACUGGGGACACGGCUAACCAUGAUUAGUUUAUUACACUCUGCAGAGGUUUGCGCACUUUUCCCCACAAGACUCGAUCUCCUCCAUUGGAUUUCUCGCACUACAUGGUGUUUGAGAAACGGAUGACCGAGACAUAGUCUUUCAGAAGCGUUUGCACCUUACGAUGGGUAGACCGUACCACCCACAACCCCUACAUCUACUAGUCUACCACUUUAAGAGUUCACACGACUUAGUCGACUAUGCUAGAGCCCAUAAUAGCUUGUGGUUGCACACGAAAGUUUCUAGUAUGAAUAGUCUCAUGAUCCCUUUGAGCCUGGGUGGCGGUCCAAAAGAAAACAGGCAAGUCCUGAAAUACCCAGGUGCCUCAAUCCACCCAGAUAUGUGUUUAAGUUGCCACCUUAGAUAAACCAUUAAUUAAUCAAAACUCACAUCUGUCAUGGAUAUCACUCACCCAAUCCACGUCUACUAGCAUAGCAUGCCUAAGCAAACGUAGAAGUAACUCCCAAAGGUUUGAUAAUAAACAGGUAAUAGGUACUACCUCAUCUACUUCCCAUCCCACAAUUUAGUUAGAUCCUAACCAUGCAAUGUGUGAGGAUUGAUCUAAUGCAAUAAAACUGGAUAGUAGGAAAGGUAUGAUCAAAGUGUUACUUGCCUUGCUGAUGAUCCGGGAAACCUAGCGAUUCGAAGUAACAAGCGGCGCACUCUGGGUAUUCUAUCGCAGACAAACAAACAAGCAUACAAUAAGUACUCAUCUAAUGCACGGGUAAAACUCAAAUAAGAGAUCUAACCAGAAGGUUCAACUUAAGAACUCCGGUUGGCAAAAAGAAUCAAAUCGAACGAAGCAACGAAAGUCAAACGGCGAAAGAAAACAACUUCGUUCUACUAAUCUGAAUCUAGGGCAAUUUUUAUAGUAGCAAAAUUUUGUUUAAGUUGGUUAAACGGAUAGAGGGUUUCGAGACGAAACUCUAGGCGCUUGAAUCGCCUGAAUCCGAUAAACGAGCGAAAAGUUAUACUAAAAUGAAAAUCGGAUAAGGAAUCGCGAUCAGAAAAAUCGCGGAUUUAAUCUGAGAAAAAGAAAAAACGACGAACGUUCGCUAGAACGAACGAACGGAUGAACGCUCACUAUUUAAAUAAACCGGAAAAACCGAUCUAUAUAAAAAACGAAUCUAAAAAACCGACGGAAAACCGAACGGUUUUUUGAAAAAAAGCAAAAAAAACGGCGCGGAUUUUGAGGCGGCGGCAAACCUCGGCGAGCGUGCGGCGGCGGCGGCUGGCAGCUGGCGGCGGCGCGGGUGGCGAGGUGGCGGUGGCGGCGGCGGCUGGGGCUGGGGUGGCUCGGGCUAGGGUUAGCUCUGGCUGGGCCUCCCCCCAAGUUAAAUAGCCUAACGGGCCGGGAGUCCUAGUCGGACACGGCCCUAUGUCGGUUCGUUUUUUUAAAUAAUUGCGUGCAGAAGAAAAAAUAAGAAGAAAUACUAAACGGACUCCAAAAAUUCCGAAAUAAAUUUUCACGGGCUUCUAAAAUCAAGCCGCACAAGGUGAACAUUUAUUUGGGACCUAAAUGCAAUUUUAAAAAAUGCACAUUUCUCCUAAAUUCAAAUAAAACACCGAAAAACUCCGAAAUAAAAACUUAUUUGAUUUUAUUAUUAAAUACUCAGUAUUUCUUUAUUUUAGGAAAGUCAUUUUAUUCCCUCUCUCAUAUUUUUGUAAUAGAAAUAAUUGAUGAUAAAAUAAAUAAAAUCAAAUGAUCCUAUUAUCAAAAUUUGAGAAAACUCAAAUAUGAAAAUAACAAAAUCCUCAACUCUCUCCGUGGGUCAUUGAGUUGCGUAGAAUUUCUAGGAUCAAACAAAAUGCAAAAUGAAAUAUGAUAUGCAAUGAUGAUCUAAUGUAUAACAUUCCAAAUUGGAAAUUUGGGAUGUUACACUAGUUCAUCUACUAGUGAAGUCGCUGUGAGCAAGGCUCCAGCCCUCAACAAAACCACCGAUGCGCGAUUGGAGGGCCUCCUAGUGGGGUCGCGCCCAGCACAAUGAGUCUGCUAAGUUGGAACUGUCGCGGAAUUGACAAAGCCGCGACAGUCCGUGAGCUUCGCGACUUAGCGAGGCACUUUGCCCCUAUAUCCUUUGCAUUGUAGAAACACAAAUAGAGGGUUCGAGAGUUGAAAUGUUAGCAGAUACUCUAGGUUACAAUAAAAGCUUUGCUGUUAGUAGUUCUGGACGAAGUGGUGGUCUUGGAAUUUUCUGGAAUGAUGAAAUAAAAGUUGAAAUUUCUGGUUACUCGAAGUACCAUAUUGAUACACUUGUUGAUGGUUUGGUGGAUGUGCAGGUCAAGGUGACCUUUGUUUACGGUGAAGCCCAAGUACCGAAACGAUAUCAUACGUGGAAUACCCUACGGGGGAUAGUUGAAACACAGAAUAGGCCAUGGGCGGUAAUAGGUGACUUUAAUGAAGUUUUACAUAUCCGUGAACAUGACGGAGUUGGUACCCGGAGUCAAGCUCAAGUUGAAGCGUUCAGAGAAGUGGUGGACUUAUGCGGCCUGACAGACAUUGGAUAUACUGGAACGGAUUGGACGUUCGAAAAGAAGGUCGCGGGAGGCACAUACACAAGGGUGAGGCUUGAUAGGUGUCUUGUAAACCCUGAGUGGCUCUUGGCAUUACCAUCUACGACCCUAACCCACAAAAGUGCAGCCGGAUCAGACCACAUUCCAAUCCUUCUCACGCUACGUGAGUUGCAUGCAUGCACUGCGGGUCCCAAACUUUUUAAGUACGAAACUAUGUGGGAGGGGGAAGAUUCUUUAUUUAUCACUGUCAGCCGCUGAUGGAACAUGCAGCCAACAGAAUUCGCGGCCUCUCAGCAUGAGAAGCUUGGGAAUCUGGUAGGGGACUUGUCGGCUUGGGAUCAUACCCACUUUGGCUCGGUCAAAAAAGAAAUCAACCAAUUAAAGGCCCACCUGGAGUAUGUGCGCUCUGCCCCAGGAAGAUCCGGUCCGUCACACGAUGAGACAAAGGUUGUAGAUAGACUGAUUGAACUGUUCCACCGCGAGGAAAUGUUGUGGCGCCAGAGGGCACAUCUUGAUUGGUUAACUCAUGGGGACAAAAACACCUAUUUUUUCAUUUGAGAGCGAGCAGACGGCGUCGGAAAAACCAGAUAAAAUCACUUCAACGUGCCGAUGGUACUUUGACGGAGGACAGUGCAGAGAUGGAAGCGUUGACCAUGGAGUUUUACAAAAACUUGUACACUUCGGAAGGGGUGCAAAACAUGGACCGAGUUCUUGAUACAGCCCCAACAAAGGUUACUCCAGCGAUGAAUGAGAUCCUUCAUGCACCAUAUACCCGGCAGGAGGUCAAACAAGCACUGUUCCAAAUGUUUCCUAUCAAGGCGCCGGGCCCGGACGGGUUCCCUACACAUUUCUUUUAGAGGCAUUGGGAGGUCUGUGGGGAUGAAGUGACGAAGGUAGUGCUCAAGGUUGUCGAGGGAACCGAAUCGCCAGCAUGCAUUAAUGAUACUAUGUUGGUCCUCAUACCAAAGGUAAAAAACCCCACCUUACUCUCACAGUUUCGUCCAAUUAGGCUUUGUAACGCGUUGUACAAGAUCACUUCCAAGGUUAUAUCCAACAAGCUCAAGCAAAUCCUUCCAGAUAUAAUUUCAGAUGAGCAAUCAGCAUUUAUUCCAGACAGGUUAAUCACGGAUAAUAUAAUAACUACUUAUGAAUGCUUGCAUUUCAUGAAGAGGAACAAGGCAAAGAAAAACCAGUCUUGUGCUCUGAAGUUGGACAUGAUGAAGGCUUAUGACAGGGUAGAAUGGGACUAUCUACGUGCCAUAAUGCUCAAGUUGGGAUUCACAAGUAACUGGGUUGAGAUUGUUAUGAGUCUUGUUACUUCAGUAAACUUCUCAGUCAUGUUUAAUGGGAAGAGGCUUGAGGAGUUCAAACCUUCAAGAGGGAUCCGGCAAGGUGACCCGAUAUCUCCAUAUUUAUUCUUGAUAGCAGCUGAGGGCCUGUCAUGCCUUUUAAAAUCAAGAGGGGAGUCAUCCAAUUUGAGAGGGGUGCAUGUGGCAGCUAUGGCGCCACCAGUUAACCAUCUUCUUUUCGCUGAUGACAGCUUGCUGUUCUUCAAGGAAAAUGUUGUGGGUUCUACCGAGGUGAACCAAGUGCUGGAAACCUACUGUCAAGCAAUAGGUCAGAGAGCAAAUUAUGCUAAAUCAUCCAUAUUCUUUAGCAAGGGUGUUCCUGAGAGUGUCUGUAAUGAGAUUAAAGGACUUUUGAACGUCCCAAAUGAAAUGUUGAACGAGAAAUAUUUGGGGAUGCCGUCGGAUGUCGGGACCUCGAAAAAUGGUGCUUUCAAAUAUCUCAAAGAUAGGCCGUGGAGAAAAAUUCAAGGCUGGACUAAGCGGACAAUGUCUAUGGCAGGGAAGGAAGUGUUAGUCAAAGCACUUGCGCAAGCAGUACCUGUCUUCUCAAUGUCAUGUUUUAAGCUGCCAAGAGGACUUUGCGAGCAUUUGAACAUGUUGAUUCGGAAGUUCUGGUGGGGAAGCACUAAUGGGCAGCGAAUACCUCAUUGGGUAUCAUGGAAGGCAAUGACGCAACCUAAGAGUAUUGGAGGGCUGGGUUUCAAAGACUUUGAGUUGUUUAACCUCGCGAUGCUGGCAAGACAAGCGUGGCGCUUGCUACGGGACCCAAAGUCUCUUAGUGCCCGGGUGCUUAAGAGUAUAUACUACCCCCACACUUCGAUCCUGCAUGCAACGUUGGGAAGCCAUCCUACACUACAAGAAAUCUGUUAAUACGUGACGGAUCCAAUCCGUCACUGACAUGCACAAAACUGCCAUGUAGGGGCAUACGUGACGGAUUUGAAAUCCGUCAUGUAUAUCGCGUCAUAAUUUGACCACUUCACGCUCCUUGACGGACCAUCCAAAACCGUCACGGAUCAUGAAGGUUCCUAGCCGUCAUGGAUGGUAGUUAACUGACAUGCUCAUAACGGCAUUAACGUGUGUACCAUGUCAUCAUCUGACAUGGAUCUGACGUGGCAGCCCAUGUAGUAGUCAACCCAUCAAAUUUUUUGGCCCACUAAAUUUUAGCUCAGUCCAAGAUUGUCGGCCCAUAUAGUAAUCAACCCAAACAUUAGAAUUUCAAUCCAUUAUGGCACGACCCACUAAUUUCAAUUCAGGACAUUAUCCCAUGUCUCUUUUCACUUGGUCCAUGGAAAUUUAAGCCAAUAAUAAUUUGACAAAAAAUAUAUGCUCAUGUCAUUAAAAAAGAAGAUUACGUAAACACACUAGAAAAUACCAGUACAUGAGCAAAAAAAGAGCCAAAAUUAUUAAUUUUACAAGCAUAUCUCAAAGAACACUAUGCUACUCUACAACCAGCGCCGCCCCCAUCAAGCAAGGCCCAACGCUCGUCGAACAUCAAUCACGGGUCGUCCCACAUUCCUAGCCGUUUGAUCCACCCCUCCACACCAAAGUCGUGAGAACACAUGUCUUCAUUGUUGAAAAUGCUCCCAUAAACCAAUAUCUGCCACAUGAUAAAAAAUAUGUCACAAUAUAUAAUAUUAUAGCCAGUAGGUUAAACUAGAAGUAACUUGCUACUCCCUUCGUUCCUAAAUAUAAGUUUUCUUAGAGAUUUGAAUAUGUACUAUAUACAAAUAAAUAUAGCCUUAUUUUAAAGUGUAGAUUCACUCAUUUUGCUCUGUAUGUAGUCCAUGUUAAAAUUCAUGAAAAGACUUAUAUUUAGCAAGGGAGGGAGUACACAUUAUCAAGUCCUGUAUUUUUUCACUCCCGCAAUGCAAAGUAGUGCAACAAAAUAAAUCGUGUGAAAAGAAACAACCGACGGCAACAAAAAGGAAUGGUGAGCAUAUAUAGAUCAAUAGAGUUGGCAGUAAACUUCACUGUGCUUAUUUGACAUGAAGUUCGAGACUAUCACUACACUAAAUUUGAAUCAUGCUAUGAGAAAUUCUGAAAUUCCUACUAUCGGUCUCUAAUGAGUUGUGAAAUAUAGAAGUAUAAAAAGUAAGGCAAGGGAAGGCACUUUCGUACCCACUGUAAGAAAUAAAUAACAUAAGCAAUACUUUUAUUCUGGUAACAAAGGCAAACAUCAAAAUAGAAAGGAAACAAACCCUUUUCCCUCUUAAUAACGUUAUUAUGCCGCAGGAGAAUAAUAAUAUCACAAGUACCUUCCAACGACAACAAAAAUAAUACUAGCUUCUCGUACAACAAUCAAUGAUAUUGUGAUGCAUCCACAGUGUGAACCUAAGAUGGAGAAAGCAGACUACCACGAUUAAAAUCUUCAUUUCAACCAUCAAAAGGGAUUACCCAAGCCCUUGGUAUGAAAAGAAGUGAUAAUUGAUGUAUCAUAUAUGUAUUGUGGGAUGUUGAACUGAAGGGCAAUUGUUGAGGGCCGGGACACCUUGAAACAAGGUCUAAUCAAGCGUAUAGGCAAUGGAGAGAGUACAUACAUUUGGGAGGACAAUUGGUUACCCCACGAGGAAAUGAUGAGACCCUACGGGUGUAUCUCAGCUAACCCGCCUCUGAGGGUCUCCGAUCUUAUCGAUGCCACUAAUGCCACAUGGAACAAACAGCUACUGGAUGCCACCUUCAUGCCUUUUGACGUCAAUGUGAUAUCAAACAUACCAAUAUGCACCAUGAACAUGCCUGAUUUCUGGAGCUGGGCUCAUGACAGGAGCGGCCAUUUUACCGUUCGGUCGGCCUACAACAUGCUCGUCACGACGAGGAACUGGCGGGAAGCAUGGUUGGAGGGUUCGGCUGGAUCUUCAUCAACUAGAACCGAGGAGGGGUCAUGGAAAUUGUUAUGGAAGACGGAGGUCCCGACAAAAGUACGCAUGUUCUUGUGGAGACUGUCAAAACAGUCGGUACCGACGGAGGAUGUCAGAGCGCAUCGCCAUAUGAAAAACACGAGCACUUGCAGUUUCUAUGGUGCAGUGGAUUCAUGGCGGCAUUCACUCUUGGAGUGUACCGUUUCGAGAUGCAUAUGGGCCCUGGUGGAUGAGGAACUAGGGAGUACACUGGUUGCUACAACAGAAAUGAGGGCGAGAGCUGGCUGUUUAGUCUUCUUGCUGUGCUUUCUCAUGAAAAGUUUGUUCUCCUCUCAGUAACACUUUGGGCAAUCUGGACAUCGAGAAGAAAGGCUAUACAUGAGGCAAUUUUUCAAACCCCCCAUGCAACACACGCUUUCAUUACCCGCUUCAUAUCCGACUUGGAAGCAGUGAGAGUUCCAAAGCCUAUUCGCCAAAGUACAACAAGCACUAGCAUGGUCAGACAAAGACCGAAGGCGCCCCCAGCAAAUUAUGCCAAGAUCCAUGUUGAUGCAGUUGUACGGACACAUAGAGGGGGAACGGCGGUAGCUAUUUGCAGGGACAACAAUGGUGUUUUCUUGGGGAGCUCAUCUUUGGUCAUCGCGGGGAUUUGGGACCCGACAACACUUGAGGCUAUUGCAUGCCGGGAGGCUAUUGCUCUAGCGGAAGAUCUUCAUAUUCAGAGAAUGGUGGUUGCUUCAGAUUGUAAGCAGGUUAUUGGUGACAUAACAAGAGGACACAAGGGCUCCUAUGGUUCGAUCAUCUGUGAAAUUAAGUCAAGAUCAUUAUCGUUCCAAUGUAAUUUCUCUUUUGAAGGUCGUCAUGUUAGUUUAGAAGCCCAUAAGCUAGCUAGAUUUGCUUUAAGCUUAGCUUUUGGUCGUCAUGUUUGGCUUGGCCAGCCUCAUGACCAAACUUGUAUCCCACUGAAUGUGGUCUUUGAAUGAAUAAAUGCUUUUUCCCUCAAAAAAAAGUUAUUACAUCUUCUCUCCCUCUCAAAAACAAGCAGUUACAUCGGCACGUCUAAAAAAAGCAGUUACAUCAGCGGAGGAAAAUUCAAAAGCGAAAUCAGUAGUUCAGGGUAGCCCUUGCGAAGGUUACUCACACAUUCUUUGAUGGUGAUAAGUGACACAUUGCAUAUGUGAUAUUUGUCACAAUUAGAAGUUUUGGGUUUUUCUUCAUAGAUUUAAUAUUUUAUUUCUUGAGCCAUGCAUCUAAAUCUCGAACCAUUUUUUGUCACAAUUAGAAGUUUUGGGUUUUUCUUCAUAGAUUUAAUAUUUUAUUUAUCGAGCCAUGCAUCUAAAUCUCGAACCAUUUUCACAAGUGGGUUUCUUGCAUUGAGAUUUCAGAGACAAAAUCCCAUGUUAACAGGUUUAGAUGUUUUUUUCUUGAAAAUACCAGGGCAGAAGAAGAAAAACAUAAAUAAAAAUAGGGAAGCACACUUCAGGCACAUGUCUGCUUCAUGGUGCCCCGAAAAAUACGCAUCACCACGAAACACACUUGUUUUUUCACUUCUCAAAAAGUACAGGUGUGCUAACGCGUAAGCAAAGCUAUGUUUUUCACUUUUCAGAAAAACACAGUUGUGCUUGUCGCGAAAGCACAUCUAUGAGAAGCGUAACUGUGUUUUUUCACUUUCGGAAAGCAUAGUGGCGAGUUCAUGUGAAAGCACAAAUGUGUUUCACGAUUGUGUUUUUUACAGGACGUGGACGUGCUUCAUGCGAGAAAUCCAACAUAAAUAAAUAAACAUAAUCAAAUUAUAUUUUUAGGAAACCUAGGAAAAACCAGGAAAUAUCCAAAACCCCACAAAAUUUUAAAAAGCAAACACAUGCAUGAAUUAAAAAAUCGUUUCCUGUGUGUGCGCACAACUAGCGACACAUAGUGGCGGCUGGGCACACCACGUGGCGCACCCUCGCGCGGCCGCCCACUGCACCCUACCCGUUGGGGGUAACCGUCCUAAGAAAGAGGUGCGGGUGUUGGUUACCAUUGCUUAGCCUUUAUCCAAGACGAUAGAUUUUGUUGAAUUCUUCGAGGCACAAUCAGUUGAAGAGAAUAUCACAAGCUUGAGCAUUGUAUUGCAGCAUCUUCAACUCUUUCGCGGUAGCUUCACGGUUUGGUUCUUUCCCAUCAAAGAAUUCACCUUGCAAGCCAAUACACACAAUGACCCAAACGGCGGGGUUAUGUACAAGAAUAUGCAUUUUCAUCUUAUGCUUCCAACUAGCAAAAUUAGUACCAUCAAAGUAAGGACCUCUAUGGUGGUAAUUUCCCUCGCUAGACGCCAUACUCUCCUAGGUUGUGAAACCAAGACUAUGAUCACCAAAAGCUAUGAAAAUCAAGGCAAAUGAAGACCAAAGCUCUGAUACCACUUGUAGAAUCAAAAGUAUGUCUAGAGGGGGGUGAUUAGACUACUUGACCAAAUAAAAAUCUAGCAUUUUCCCAAUUUUAAGUUUUGGCAGAUUUUAGCAACUUAGCACUAGUCAAGCAAUCAACCUACACAUGCAAGUCUAAGACUAUAGCAGCGGAAUUUAAAACAUUGCACAUGAAGGUAAAGGGACGAGUUUGGAGGGAGCAAACACAAUGUAGACACGGAGAUUUUUGGCGUGGUUCCGAUAGAUGGUGCUAUCGUACAUCCACGUUGAUGGAGACUUCAAGCCACGAAGGAUAACGGUUGCGCGAGUCCACGGAGGGCUCCACCGCUUGGGGGAGUUGAUACGUCCAUUUUGCAUCAUGUUUUCUUACUGUUAUUUAUAAUUUUUUAUCUAUAAUAAUGCUUUUUGGAGUAAUUUUAAUGCCUUUUCUCUCAUAGUUUGCAAGGAACGCACCAAGAGGAGAAUUCCGGCAGCUGGAAAUCUGGACCUGGAAAAGUUACAUCAGGCCACCUAUUCUGCACAACUCCAAAUGAGUUGAAACUUCACGGAGAUUUUUUAUGGAUUAUUUAAGAAAUACUGGAGCCAAUAAACAGCAGAGGGGGACCACCAGGUGGGCACAACCCACCAGGGCGCGCCAGGCCCCCCAGGCACGCCCUGGUGGGUUGUGGCCUGCUCGGCCCACCUCCGGUACCCAUCUUCUGGUAUAUAAGUCAUUUUGACCUAGAAAAAAAAUAAAGAGAGGACUUUCGGGACAAAGCGUCGCCGCCUCGAGGCGGAACUUAGGAGGAGCACUUUUUCCCUCCGUCGGAGCGUUUCCGCUGGGGGAACUUCCCUCCCGGAGGGGGAAAUCAUGGUCAUCAUCAUCACCAACAACUCUCCCAUCUUGGGGAGGACAAUCUCCAUCAACAUCUUCAACAACACCAUCUCCUCUCAAACCCUAGUUCAUCUCUUGUGUUCAAUCUUGUUACCGGAACUAUAGAUUGGUGCUUGUGGGUGACUAGUAGUGUUGAUUAUAUCUUGUAGUUGAUUACUAUAUGGUUUAUUUGGUGGAAGAUUAUAUGUUCAGAUCCACUAUGCUAUUUAAUACUCCUCUGAUCAUCAAUAUAUUUAUCAUUUGUGAGUAGUUACUUUUGUUCUUGAGGUCACGGGAGAAUUCAUGUUGCAAGUAAUGAUGUGAGCUUGAUAUGUGUUUGAUAUUUUGAUAGUAUGUAUGUUGUUAUUCCCUUAGUGGUGUCAUGUGAACGUUGACUACAUGACACUUCACCAUAUUUGAGCCUAAGGGAAUGCAUUGUGGAGUAGCAAUUAGAUGGUGGGUUGCGAGAGUGAUAGAAGCUUAAACCCCAGUUUAUGCGCUACUUCGUAAGGGGCCGAUUGGAUCCAAAAGUUUAAUGCUAUGGUUAGAAUUUAUUCUUAAUACUUUUCUCNNNNNNNNNNNNNNNNNNNNNNNNNNNNNNNNNNNNNNNNNNNNNNNNNNNNNNNNNNNNNNNNNNNNNNNNNNNNNNNNNNNNNNNNNNNNNNNNNNNNNNNNNNNNNNNNNNNNNNNNNNNNNNNNNNNNNNNNNNNNNNNNNNNNNNNNNNNNNNNNNNNNNNNNNNNNNNNNNNNNNNNNNNNNNNNNNNNNNNNNNNNNNNUCGUAGUUGUGGAUGCUUGCGCGCGCGUGCGCGGGGGGCGGGGGGGGGGGGUUAAUCAUAAGUAGGAGGUUUGUUCAAGUAAGAACAACACCUAAACACCGGUCCACCCACAUAUCAAAUUAUCAAAGUAGCGAACACAAAUCAAACCAACAUGAUGAAAGUGACUAGAUGAAAUUCCCAUGUACCCUCAAUAAUACUUUGCUUAUCAUAAGAGACCGUUUUGGCCUGCCCUUUGACUCAAAAGGAUUGGGCUACCUUGGUGCACUUUUGUUACUAUUAUCGUUACUUGCUCGUUACAAACUAUCUUGCUAUCAAACUACUCUGAUACUUACAAUUUCAGCACUUGCAGACAAUCCCUUACCGAAAACUACUUAUCAUUUCCUUCUGCUCCUCGUUAGGUUCGACACUCUUACUUAUCGAAAAGAUCUACAAUUGAUCCCCUAUACUUGUGGGUCAUCGGUCAUCAGUUCCCCCUCCGACAGAGUACCGAAAAAGGCCUCCAGAUGGGAUCUCACGAGAACAGAAGCUUGUGGUGGUGGAAAAAAUGUUUUGGGUGGCUCUCUGUUGGUUUCCCGAUUUUAGAGAAUUUGUAAAGGUGAAAUUAGGUCAAACGGACGCUCGUGGGCCCCACAAGCCACCAGGGCACGCCUACUCCCUUGGGCGCGCCUUGGUGCCUCGUGGGCCACUCCUUCAUCUUCUGGCCCUCCCCCGAAGCUUCAAGGGUCUCUUUUGUCUAGAAAAAAAAUCUCCAAAAAAGUUUCAUGGCAUUUGGUCUUCGUUUGGUACUGAUAUUUUGGUAAACCAAAAACAGGUGAAAAACAGCAACUGGCACUUGGCACUAAGCUAAUAAGUUGGUCCCAAAAAAAUGAUAUAUAAUGACAUAUAAAUGCAUAUAAAACAUCCAAAAUUGAUACUAUACAGCAUGAAACAAUCAAAUAUUAUAGAUACGUUGGAGACAUAUAAGCAGGUGUCACAAUAUAGGCCCGACAUUACAAUAAGCUCAAACAACGAUAAAAGAUAUAUUGUUUUGUAUUGAACUCUUCAUUCACUUUGGGCAUUUUUUAUUUGCUUUUGCAUCAGAUUGUGGUCCUCUUGGGACCGUUUCAACUUCCAGUUCAUCUUCGCUAACUCUUGGGAGACAAAGCUCGGAGCCGAAAUAGAGGCCUACACAAAUGAUUAAAACAAUUAGCCGUCCAAGCUCGAUUUCGAUCCUUUGAUGGCUUUAUACCAAACCAACAAGAGUCUUAGGGGCUACUGUAUGGUCAUAUUCACACAAACAUCGAGACGAACCCCAAGUCAGUUCUUUAAACCAACUUAGGGCUCGGGGGCUACUGAUGGCUAUGUUAUAAAUUAUUGUAUUGUAUUCAAAUAGGAGUUUUUUUAGCCACACCAGAAGAGGUCUGGCAUAAAAUUGACAAUAUAUAUACUACAGGGUGAAUUUGAAGUACGGUAAACAUACCUCAAAGCCUCUAAGGAGACCCUUGAAGGCCUCUUGCAUUCUGGCCUCCAUAGACUGGAAGCUCCCCACUGUCAUGCCAAUAAGGUCACGGUGCUCUUUCGGGAUGGAGGAGCUCGCCACGACGGCCUCCAUCUCCACGGGCCACCCCAUGGGGACCUACUUUAGAGCAAGAGGGGAAGGUGGAGCCGCUUAGUGUUCACCCACCGUGGUUGCAGGGACGGUAACCUCUGGCUACUUUGGCAGUCCUAGAGUGAUUUGGGCCGAGGAUACACCUUGGCCCAACUCUUCUUCCGUAACCAUGGGGACUUCUUCCCUGUGGUCUUCGGCGCCCGAGGACUAGACCUCAGCCAAUGAAUCGCCGAUGCCUGCCCACGUGUUGUCAGCGGUAGGGGUCGGGCGCGACGUCGCUUCCCCCAGCCCAUUAGGGCCAGAGGGGGAAUAGGACGCUCCACGGACCCGCUCUCCGCCAUAGAAGGUGGAGGGAUACCAUCGUCCUCAGUUGCGUCGCUGAUGUUCACGCGUUGCGGGCUACAAAGGAUGAAUCAAUAAUUCGGCAUCUACUCGAGGAACCAUAAACAUGAAGGAAAUAUGCCCUAGAGGCAAUAAUAAAGUUAUUAUUUAUUUCCUUAUAUCAUGAUAAAUGUUUAUUAUUCAUGCUAGAAUUGUAUUAACCGGAAACAUGAUACAUGUGUGAAUACAUAGACAAACAGAGUGUCACUAGUAUGCCUCUACUAGACUAGAUCGUUGAUCAAAGAUGGUUAUGUUUCCUAACCAUAGACAAAGAGUUGUCAUUUGAUUAACGGGAUCACAUCAUUAGGAGAAUGAUGUGAUUGACUUGACCCAUUCCGUUAGCUUAGCACUUGAUCGUUUAGUUUGUUGCUAUUGCUUUCUUCGUGACUUAUACAUGUUCCUAUGACUAUGAGAUUAUGCAACUCCCGUUUACCGGAGGAACACUUUGUGUGCUACCAAGCGUCACAACGUAACUGGGUGAUUAUAAAGGUGCUCUACAUGUGUCUUCGAAGGUACUUGUUGGGUUGGCGUAUUUCGAGAUUAGGAUUUGUCACUCCGAUUGUGGGAGAGGUAUCCCUGGCCCCACUCGGUAAUACACAUCACUUAAGCCUUGCAAGCAUUGCAGCUGAUGAGUUAGUUGCGGAAUGAUGUGUUACAGAACGAGUAAAGAGACUUGCCGGUAACAAGAUUGAACUAGGUAUUGAGAUACCGACGAUCGAAUCUCGGGCAAAUAACAUACCGAUGACAAAGGGAACAACGUAUGUUGUUAUGCGGUUUGACCGAUAAAGAUCUUCGUAGAAUAUGUAGGAGCCAAUAUGAGCAUCCAGGUUCCGCUAUUGGUUAUUGACCGAAGACGUGUCUCGGUCAUGUCUACAUAGUUCUCGAACCCGUAGGGUCCGCACGCUUAAAGUUCGAUGACGGUUAUAUUAUGAGUUUAUGAUUUUAGAUGUACCAGAGGUAGUUCAGAUUCCGGGAUAUGAUCACGGACAUAACGAGGAGUCUCGAAAUGGUCGAGACGUAAAGAUCGAUAUAUUGAACGACUAUGUUCGGACACCGGAAUGAUUUCGGGGAGUUUCGGGCAUAUACCGGAGUACCGGGGGGUUACCAGAACCCCCCGGGGAGACUAAUGGGCCUAUUGGGCCCUAAUGGAGAAGAGGAGGGGCGGCCAAAGGGCAGCCGCGCGCCCCCUCCCCCCAGUCCGAAUUGGACAAGGAGGGGGCGCGUCUAAGGUGGCCGCCCCCUCCUCCUCCUCCACUCCUUUAUAUACGGGGUGGGAGGCACCCCUUGGAGACACAAAAAAUGAUCUCUUGGACCUUUUAGCCGUGUGUGGUGCCCCUCUCCACCAUAGUCCACCUCGAAAUAUCAUAGCAGUGCUUAGGUGAAGCCCUGCGAUGGUAGAACAUCAACAUCGUCACCACGUCGUUGUGCUGACGGAACUCUCCCUCAAAGCUCGGCUGGAUCGGAGUUCGAGGGAUGUCAUCGAGUUGAACGUGUGCAGAACUCGGAGGUGUCGUGCGUUCGAUACUUGAUUGGUCGGAUCGUGAAGACGUACGACUACAUCAACCGCGUUGUGCUAACGCUUCCGUUUUCGGUCUACGAGGGUACGUGGACACACUCUCCCCUCUCGUUGCUAUGCAUCACCAUGAUCUUGCGUGUGCGUAGGAAUUUUUUUGAAAUUACUAUAUUCCCAACAAAACAGACUCCAAAGCGUUCUACCGAGAAUACCAUCUGGGUGCAGGCUUCACUGAGUCAGGGGGUCCUCCGAGGUGUCAAAGAGGGUCACCCAAGUAGGCGCAGUUCAUUGGCCGGCCGGCACGCCCGAGGCCUUGCGCAGCUUCCAACGGGGCUGGUGGUGUGCCUCCUCCACGGGGUCGUCAAACGCUGCUCUCUUCUAUUUCGAAGAGGCCACCUCAUCUUCUUCGUCUUCCAUCUCCUGUACUACUUUCCCCUCCUACUCUGCUAUCAAGUUUCUCUCAGAACCGAACUGAACCGAAUUCUGAUAUGCAAUUAGUCUAGUGUAACACCUUCCAAUUAGUUUUUUAGAACAACCUUUGAAUUAUAUUUGUGACAUAAGACCGGCUCGGCUGCAGAGGCGGGUGUUGCAGGCAAAUUAAAGCACCAAAAAAUAGGGAGUUCCUAACCAACACACAUGAGACCUCCUAUUUAGCAACCUGCAUGGGGGAGAGCGCACAAAUGCACACCACCUCAUGCGCAGGAUUUGGGCUGGACCAUGUGUGGACGAGUGGCGUCCCUGCUUUUUUCGCUUUCAUUAUAUAUAUAUAUAUAUAUAUAUAUAUAUAUAUAUAUAUAUAUAUAUAUAUAUAUUUUGCUUCAUAAUGUUCAAGAUUUCAAACUAAAAUGUGUAUUUCAAAAAUAAAAUCAUAAAUUAAAAAAAUGCAUUUGGAUUAAAAAAUGUUUGCGAGUUCAAUAAACAUUCUUGAUUUUUAUGGAAAUAAUUCUUGAACUACAAAUUUUUUGCAAUUUUUAAAAAUAUAUGUGAAUUCAAAAACAUUCAUGAAUUGGGAAAAAACUUUGCAAAUUUGAAAAAAUAUUCCCGAACCAAAAUGUUACAUUUAAAAAAAUGUUCAUGGAUUUAAUAAAAAAAUUCAGGAAGUUUAAGAAAUAUUCGUCACUCCAAAAACCGUUCAUAUUUUUCAAAAAAAAUGUUAGUUCGAAAAACUUUAACCAAUUUUUAAAGGCCGCGUGUUUAGAAAAUUAUGACCUUCUCUUUUUUUAUUUCCACAAAUGAUCAUGAUUUUGAAAAACAAAUUCAUAACUUUCAAAAAUAUGUACGCGAGUUUGAAAAUAACAUAUUCAAGUAUUAAAAAUUUAUCCUCAAACUCAAUGUUUUUCACGAAUUUGUAUUGUUUGGAAGAUUUUCAUAAAAACAAUAAAUUGAAAAAUGGUUCAUGACUUUAUUUUAAUUUUAUGAGUUUCAACAAAAAGUUUGUGAACUAUAAAAAAAUAAGAAACUAAAAUAAAAAGGAAAAAAGAGAACGAAAAAGAAAAGGAAAAUACUCAGAAGAAAAAACAAAAGAAGUAAAAAGAUAGUGGCGAAAAACCCAGAAUUGACCGUCCUAUCAGAGGACCAGGAGCAAUUAAUCUUUAUCUUUAUCUUUACCUAUAUAUAUAUAUAUAUAUAUAUAUAUACUAAUAAAGCGGCUAUCGCUUCUGUCCGUCCGUUAUUAGUACUUUUGCAUAAAAGCCCCUGUGGUUUCGUGUAUUCAACCCGCAAUCCAUUAUUAAGCUGCCACGAAAAACGGUUCGCUAGAAAAAAUACCCGUACGCGUCUGCCUCCUCGCAUCGCCUCGACCCUGGCCUCUGCCUAGGCCGAGCCAAUCCUAGCUGCCGCCGCACCACUCGCCGCCGCGGCCGACCUCAACCCACCCGCCGCCCCGGCCGACCUUAACCCGCCCGCCGCCCCGGCCGACCUCAACCCGCCCGCCGCCCCGUCCACACCUCUUCCCGCUCGCCACCCCCGCCGCGGCGCUCGAGCGCAGCUUCUGGAUCAGGUCAACGCGGCGGCUCGACAGGCUGGGGGCGAUGCGUCUGCUCGAUGCAAAACGGCGGCGGCGGGAUCCAGCGGGCGCGGGAGAAGGAGAGAUCCGGCGCGGCGGCGCGAAGUCCUUGCAAGUGGAGGCGGGCCUCCAUGGCUGGCAGGGAGAGCUCCAAGGUCAUGGCGGUGAUUCGAUUUUUCUGGUAGAGAAGAGAGACAGGAGGAUCCAGGGUGGAGGAGAGGUAGGAGAAGAAGGACGAGGAAGAUGGAAGGGUGCGGCAGGGGUGCAGCGGUGCGAGGGCACUGGUGCGCGUGAGGAGCGCCUCUCCUCGGGAGGAUCAGGGAGGAGCGAGUGAAACUCAAAUCGACUUCAGAGCAAGGUACUGGUGUAGAACUACGAAGAAGCAAGCUGACCAGAUGCACACGUACUAGCCGGCAACAACGAUGAAGGAAGCCAACCAGAUGUGCACAAAACUACACUACAUCAUGCCUAAUUGAAUCCUCCGGUACGUGUUCCAUUGGCUAAUAGACCAUGCUAGCUAGCUAGCAACCAUGUAAAUUCCCCACGCUUGAUUGAUUCCUUUGGGACUUUAUUAACUUCUAUAUGUUCUUCCCAUGAUUAUCUAGAUAAUGCUAACUGUUGAUAUUUCUUUCACGCAUACAUGGUUUUGCUUGGAGUUUUUCCACUGGCUACGUCUGAACUCUGAAUAUUAUGAACUUAAGGAUAAAUCUUAUAGCAGAUCAAAAUCAUGGUCCACGCAAAAAGAAGAGACCAGAAUCAUGGUUGUGCUGAUUCCAUAGGGGCCUCAUGAUGGUUUGUGUUCUUUUAUUCAAAUGAAAAAACCAAGAUUAUUAUUGUAACUGUUACAGUUGUACUAGCAGGAUUAUCCUAGAAGUUGUGCCAAUUUUCCAUCAAUUGAUAACACUGUAAGGUAGUGAGUCAUCUUUGUAGACUUUACCAUGCCUAGAUUGGUUGACUUGGAUCACGUGUAUGUCUUACACUUUUAGACAAUUCUCACUUGCUAUGCUAAGCUCGAAUUUGAAGAUACAAGUUGAGGUGUGUCUUGGGACAGUGUGACUAAAAACCGAACCUUCAGUUUAUGCAAUCAGAAGAAAAGUGAAUGAAUUUUCAAUGAAAACAAAAUACUUCUGAGCAUAAGGAUGAAAAAGUGCAGCAACCGACUUGGCUUAUUGUUUUGGAAAUUGCAACCGGUGCUCUCCUUCUUGUUUUUGUGAUCACUAGUGCUGUUACUGCCUCCAGAAGCUUCAAUCUAAAGCCUUCUAUAAGAAUAUCAUCAUGGAGUAGAUCAAAAAGUUGGAGCAACGAGAUAACAGUACUGAUUGGUUGGUAUUAACUAUAUAAAAUAAAUUGAUUAUUUUGUCUAACAUACAUUGUUGCUAAUUUGUUCAUGCUUUCCUCAGAUUCUGAUAUGCUGAAAAGUUUGCCAAAGUUGAGUCACUAGGAACUUGAAGUAGUGUGUUAGGAUUUUAGCAACAUAAUUGGCUCAACUCUGGAGACUAUAGUCUACAAAGAAACAAUGAAGGAUGGACCUGAGGUUUCUGUCAUAUCAUUAUGCGCCUUUGAAGGUCAUUGGACUAGCCAGCAUGAGCUCUUUUACCAAAACAAGGUAGUUCGUUUGUCUAAAAUUGCGACUCAGAAACACCUUUUAACUCAAAUAAUAAAUAAAUAAAAUGGGAUGAACAUUGUAGGUUAUUGAUCUGGCAAGGUUGAAUCAUGAGAACAUAGCAAAGUUUCUGGGCUAUUGCAGAGAGAGUGACCCAUUCUCGAGGAUGUUAAUCUUUGAGUAAAAAUCAAAUGGGACCCUGUACGAGCACCCACACUGUAAGUCUAUCUCUUCAAUUUCAUUAGGACAGACUAAAUAUUUGCAUUUUCUGUGUGUUGUAGAUUUGAUCUCAUUUGUUUUCGUCCUUUAUAUGGGGAAGAGGCCCAAUUCUCUUGGCUCAGAUGAAUGAAAAUAGCCAUGGACAUCGCCCAAGGUUUAAGGUAUUUGUACACCGAGUCGCAGCCUCCUUUCGCUAUAUCUGAGCUGAACUCCAAUUCAGUAUACGUUACAGAAGAUUUUAUAUACAAACUGAACUUUGAAAUCCACUUGACAAUUGCUCAUGACUUGAUAGAAAUCAUUCUUAUGAGCAGGCUGACGACGUCGUCUAUUGAAGCCCCACCGGCGACACGACGGGACAGCUCUGACUUGUACGUGGGUGUGGGAACGCAGAUCCGCGUUGCCAGCUUACACAAGGCCAUGCUCAACGCGCCGACGCAGGGUUUAUCGCCCGUCUUUGUCAGAUAAGCAAAGCAAUCCACCUUCCUCUUUCUCAUCAGAUCCAUUUUAUUGUGAUAUUGCAUUUAAGUCAAUCAAUUUUUAUGAUUCUUUCAGUGUUAAAGAAAAUGGAAUUUACCUGAAUAAAUUGCAUGUAUAGAUAUGUAGAGGAUGAACUCAACAAGUGGAUCUUUCAAGGUUAAUUAGCUUUGCACAUUUUAUAAAAUAGAUGCAAUGGCAUAGCACCUUCAGUAUCAUGCUUGCACUCACAUGUUGUUCCAACAGCACUAUGAAUGUUGCCCAGAAUUGCCAUGCCUUCAGCUUUCGCUAUAAGUUCCUAUGAUGCUCCUUUUCAGGUGACUUUUCAUGUGAUUUCUACUUCUAAAAAUUAGAAAGUACCUUCAGAUCAAAGCAGUGGAUUUGUAGAUUUUCUGGGUAUUGGUGCUACUCCAUCUCCAUUUGGCUUACGGUCUUUGGUCACUGAUUCUGAGGUACGACGUUGUUUUACUUUUAUGUUAAAUCCCAUUUAGCUUGGCACCUCCAUUUAUUGGUUCGGACCGAGCAAAGAUCCUGUUGAGCAAUAUCACUGACUGGAAGCAUAAAUUUUCAAAUCAGUGAUGAGAUAAAUCUUGUGUACUGGUGCUUAGCAGCUAGCGAAGUGCGGCUGGUAUUUUUGGUCUGUAUGUAGGUAGCUUCCUGAUGUGUGUGGCUGUUGUUCAUUCACGACCUGAACUUAUUUCUGUUGGCUUCAUUUUAGUAAAGAUGGGGUGGGGAAAAAACUACACCCUAUAUAUGUAAGUUGACUGAAAAUAAUAAUAUGUUUCAGUAGCUAUAUUUCUCUGUUUCCUAACAUGGUUGUAGGCUAGAUGUUCGUGUUGGUUUGUCUUGCUGUAGAACUUGCCCCUAUUCAUUUGUUACACAUUUUGUGUAGCUAUCAAGGAAGAAAGUAAUGGACAUUCACAGGUCAGAGUCUCCCCAUCAGCAUUUGAUGGCAGGGGCCGCUGCUUUACAGAAGAUGGAUGUGAAACCAAAAUCAUAUUCUACCAACUUUUAUUUAAUGCAUAUUAUCAUUUAGCAAUACGUUGGCUGUGCCUCCCCGUGAUCAAUGGAGAUCUUCUGUAGAUGUAUUGGAGUUUUGUCAUGCGUUAAACUUCUCAAUGGUUGACCAUGGAAAAUCUGUGUAGUUCUUAUUUUGUACAUAUGCUUCUGGUUUCAAGGAGAAUUCUUACUCCUUUUGGAAUUACCAUCUUUAAACAUUGUAGAUCCCAAUCUCUUGUGUAUUUGCAUCAAAUACUGUUUUUCGAAUGCUUAUCAUGUAUAAUACUAAACUCCCUCCCCCUACUUCUUCUGUCACAUGUGUUGUUCCUUUGUCAUUAGUGAGCUCCAGAAAACACAACUGCAAGGUAGAGAAUAGUUGCCACUUAGUUAGCAUUUUAGUUAGCAGUGUAGACAUGUUAGUAAUACUAUAAUGUUGGACAAUAAAUGACUUCGACUACAUUCGAACGAACUUAUCUUGCUUCCAAGAAGAGUAAAAUCAUCUUUAAUAAUUUCCCGGAUUUUGCUUAUAUUCAUGUUUCUUAACAUGUUUGGAAUGUCGUUUCCUCCAAAAUGCGACAUUUACCUUCCAUUUGGAGCAUAGGAUGCAUUUUUUAUCAGUUGAUGACUGAAAAAAAUCACUUUUCUGAUAAAAACGCUAUCCGUCAGUUGGACUUAAUUAAUUGCCUUCUAGACACACCUUCAAAUAUAUACAGGUUCUCUAAUAAGGUAGUCGUGGGAACACUAUAUUUUUGGUUUACAUUGUAAAUGUUUCCAGUGACCACAAAUUUGACUUUCUUUUUUUGCUUCUUUUCAGCUUUCAGGUCCUAAAUGAGAAGGUAAGGAUGUACUUGAGCAGUAUGAGAAGACCGAGUUCCAUUAUCUCAGAAGCCAGAAGUUUCCCAUUAAUAUUUGGUUCUAAAAUUUGUUUAAGAAAAUGGUCAUUCUGCUAUUAGCACCACGAUUAUGUGUCAAUUGUAGAUUCUUAAUUGGUUAGAAUUAUUUUAUAUGUUUGAUUCCUUUGGUUCAUAUUUAUUCAACAACAAAAUAUUUUUGAGAUUGGUCAAUUUGAGGAUCAAACUUCAAACAUGUGAAUUGAUGUGGCAUCAAGCUAAAUCUAUUGAUACAUAGCUAUCCUUUUUUGCUUUGCACAAUUAAUAUUGUUACUGGAGAUGUAUGUUAAUCCUCUAGCUUUGCUCAUUUUAUCUUUUGAUUUCAUCUGAGUUGAUAGGAUAUUGUGUCAUGCGUUCAAAAAUUAUAUGGUCAUGUGGGUGGAUUGUUUCUCCCGUUGCAACGCACGGGCAUGUUUCCUAGUCGCUAUCUAAGCGGGGAAUAGGAUCUCCAGCGCGUUGGGCGUUGCCUACAUCCAAACGCCCACCCCGCACCGCGUGGCUUUGGGCUGGCCAAGUACGAUGCAAGAUGAGCGGUGCGCCUGGUUUUAUUUUUGUUUUAACUCUUUUCUUUUAUUAAUUAAGUUUUAAAAAGAUAUCUUUAAAUUUUAAAAUAGUCCAUAAACUAUAAAUGGUCAUAUUUUAGAAAAAUAUAUUUGUGAAAUAAAAAAAAUAUGAAAUUGAAAAAAAUCAUGAAUGCACAGGUUCUACGUCAUUUUCAGAAAUCAUUUGAGUAUUCAAAAAGUGUUUGCCAAUUUUUAGAAAAAAGUUAAUGAAAUCAAAAAAAUAUUUGUUCAGGAAAUUUAAAAAGGUUCAAUUUUUUUAGAAAAUACAUGUGAUUUGUGAAAUUGUAAACAAAUGAUUCUGAAUUUGUAAUAUGUUCGUGAAAAAAAUGUUCAGGAGUUUUAAAAAUAAUUGCGAUUUGAAGAAUUAUAAGAGAAUGCUGAAAAGAUAGUUUGCAAAUUUGAAAAAACUUUUGUUCAUUUUUAAAAUGUUCUCAAAAUUUAAAACAUGUUCAUAAAUUAAUAAAAAUGUGUACUAAAUACAGAAAUUAUUAAUAAAUAGUUAUUUCUUUUCUGAAAGGAAAUAAAAAUUUAGAAUAAAACUCAAAAUUACUUUUCUCUUAAAAAACACAGAAGGUUCUGGAUCCUUCUUUAUCAUGGGAACUACACACAAAUAAAAGGCACAAAUGGGUUGAACCAUUAUGUGGCAGCAACACUCUUCAGCACCCCACUGGUGGAUUAUGCUUUCCGUGUCAGCACCCUGCAAGAUGGGAAGUUCCACAAUUCCUAUUUGCUGCCAUUGGCGGUAAAGUGACGCCAAAUCCCAUGGGAAAGGAAGCACGUGAAAUUAAGUGGGGUGUACUGUUUAAGUAUGCUUUGUUCCUGGUUUUAGGAACCAUUCAGAAGGAUUCAGUAAAGUUCAGAGCCGAUUUUUUUCGUUUUUCCCAUUAAUUAUUUCACUGGUUAUUUUUUCCUUUUACGAAAUUCUGAAAACCAUUCGCAUUUUAAAAAUUAUUUGGAAUUUUAACUAGUUUUAUAAUUUACAGUUUUUUCUAGAAAUUCAAAAGCAUUCAUGUGUUUUCAAAAAAAGUUCGCGUUUUCAUAAAAUGUUUCAAAAAAAAAUCCAAGUUUUUCAAAAAUUGUAUGCGUUAUGUAUAAUAUCUUUUCCAUUUUCCUAAAAUAUAUGUGUUUUUAAACAAAUUUGGAAAUUGAAAAUUUAAAAAUUUCUGAGAAUUUUAAAUGAUAUUCGUGCACCCUCUGGCGGUACAGUGCCUGUCUCUUGCAUUAUUGAGUCACUACAGUACACAUGAAUUGCCAUAAUAUGCACAGAUAAGAAUGCAAGACUGUAGCUAAUGGACUAGCUCGGCACCUGUGCCUAUGCCUUUGGGGGCAAUUUGACGGAAAAAUCCUUCACACAGGAGCUCCCGGUACUAUAGCUAGGGCGCCCCUAUAUAUCACAUUCAGCGAGACGGUACGAACCCUCGCUGAAGGGUGACGUGACUGGGGAACAACAUCCUCGUUUUUUGUUUUUUUAUUCAUUUUCUGUUUUUUGUUUUAUUUUGUUUUUCUACUUCCAAAUGUCCUAAUAAAUAUAUUUCAAAAAUCGCUCUACAUAAAACAUUUGAAAAGUGUUGACCAAGCAUUUGAAAAAGGUUAAAUGUCUAUAGAGAAAAUGUUUAUCACGUAUACAAAUAAAAUAAAAUAUGUAUGAAACUAUUUGAUCAUGUAUUAAAAAAAUGUUGAUUAAGUAUUUAAUAAAAAUAUUGAACAAGUGUUUGAGAAAUAUUAAUCAAGCAUUUGGAAAAUGUUAAAUAUGUAUAGAAAAAAUGUUGACCAUGUAUUAAAAAAUGAUAAUCAAGUAUAUUUUUUAAUAUGUAUAGAAAAAUGUUGAUCAUGUAUUCAAAAAAUUAUGUAUAAUUUUUGCAUGUACAUAAAAAUGUUAAUUAAGCAUUUGAAGAAAAUAUUGAGCAAGUAUUUUAAAAAUGUUCAAUGUGUUUAAAAAAAGUUGUCCAUGUCCUAAAAAAAUUUAAUAUUUCAUUUAAAGACUGUUAAUUAAGCAUUUGAAAAAUGUUAAAUGUGCAUAGAAAAAAUAUAGACCAUAUAUUAGGAAAAUUUAAUCUUGUAUUUGGAAAAUGUUAAUAGAGUAUUUGAAAAGUUUUGAAAUUGUGUAUAGAUAAAAUAUUGACCAUGUAUUCAAAAAAGUUAAUCAUGUAUUUGAAAAAUGUUAAUCAAGAAUUUUAAAAAUUUUAAAAUAUCUGUAUAGAUAAAAUGUUGAUCAUGUAUUUUGAAAAUACAAAAUAUGUAUUGGAAAAAUGUCAAACAUGUAUCAGAAAACUAUUGUUUACAUAUACAAAAAUUGUAGAAUAAAACCCAAAAGAAAUGAAGAAGACCAAAAAAAUGAAGACCCAAAAAGAAAUGAACUAAAACCAAGAGAAUGAAAAAUAAAACCAAAGAAAGAAAUGAAAAAGAAAAGGAAAACCCCCCAGAGAAAACCGAAUAAGAGAAACAUAAAAAACGGUGGAGAAAACUAGCUCUUUUACCUCAAGUAGGAUGCACCCUAUAGUUUCGUCACGAACACGUGACAGCCCCUUUUUCUCCACUAUUUAUUUCAUUAGGUGUGUGUUAAUGGGCCGAGCCAAUUGACACACCAGAUAAAGAAAUCCUUCAGCGAGAGAUCCUUCUAUCUCGGUUAAUGCAAGAUAUACUCGCUUGCUCUAGAUAAGCCAACUUGGCGUAAAUUGCCGACUCAUGUUAUGUGGUAACUGUGGGUUGUGGCAGUUCAGCCUGGCAAAGAGUGGUGGGUUGUAGAGGCGCUUCUGGGGAUCCUUCCAACUCGCUUAAUGCAAGAUAUCCUCCCACGGUCUAGCUAUGGCAACUUGACAUAAAUCGAUGACUCGUGUGUUACAUGGUAACUGUGGGCUGUGGCAGUUCGGCCUGGCAAAGAGUGGUGGGUUGUAGAGGCACCUUUGGGAUCCUUCCAACUCACUUAAUGCAAGAUAUACUCGACACAAUCUAGCUAACGCAACUUGACGUAAUUGAUGGCUCGUGUAUUGCGCGGUAAUUGUGGGUCGUGGUAGUUCGGCCUAGCAAAUGCUUUAUCAACAUUUUUCAAAUUCAAGAUUAACAUUUUUUUGAAUGCAUGAUCAACAUUUUUCCAUACACAUUUAACAAUUUCUAAACACUUUAUUAACAUUUUUAAAGACGCGUUCAACAUUUUUUCAUAUACUUGAUUCACAUUUUAAUAUACAAUGAUAAAAACAAUUCAUUAUUUUAAUGCAUGGUCCACACUUUCUCUAUACACAUUUACUAUUUCCAAAUGCUUGUUUAAAUUUUUUGAAAAUACCUUUUCUACAUCAUUUGAAUGCUAGAUUAAUAUUUUCAUAUACAUGAUCAAAAUAUUUCAUUAAUUUUUUAAUGCAUGGUCAACAUAUUUUGUAUAAACAUUUAACAUUUUUCAAAUGCAUGAUUACAUUUGUUGAAACAUUAUGAAACUAUAUUUUUGUAAUAUAUAUGUUUGGAUAAUUUGAAGUGUAAACUAAACUAAAAAAUGGAAUCAAAAAACGAAAUAAAAACGUGGAAAACAGAAAAAAAAUUAGGGAGUGUCCUUCCGCCCAAUGGGCCGGCCCAUAUGCUCGCAUGAGUCGUUUCAGCGAGUCGACAUAGGGGCGCCCAGUUCUUUGUUCCGAAAAAACCACGCAUCCUUAAUAUCUCAAAUUCUCAUCAAAAUAGAACCAACCUGUGGUUGAGAUGGUUAGGUGGACAGUGGUAUCCUCAACCCACCAGGGUUCAAAUCCUGGUGCUUGCAUUAUUCCUGGAUUUAUUUCAGGAUUUCCGGCGAUGCGCUUUCAGUGGGAGGAGACGUUUCCGUCGACGACGAGGCGCCUACGGUGACUUCGUAAAUCUCAAGAUGAUGUGUCGGCUCAGUCUUUCGGAGGUGCUCAUAGGGGUAGGGUGUGCGUGUGUGCGUUCAUAGGGGUGAGUGUAUGCGCGUGUAUAUGAGCGCUUGUGUCUGUACUGAUGCUCAAAAAAAAAUUCUCAUCAAAAUAUUAAGACUUUAAAAAGGCUACUGAUUUUAAUUCCAUUUUCUCACUUUCUAUUUCUUUCAUAUUUUCAUAUUUUCCUUUUCUAUAUAUAUUUAAAUUAAAUAGGACAACAUAGUUCCCGAGUAAAGUAUUUAUUACCCCAAAAUUAAUGAGAAUUUGAAAACCUGUUAAGAAUUUUAAAAUUCAUGAACAAUCUUUAAAUUUAACAUUUUUUUCUAAUUUCGUGAACAUUAUAUUCAAAUACAUGAAUUUUAAAUUCACUACUAAUUUUAUAAAUCCACGAUUUACUUUAUAAAUUCAGGCAUAUUUGAAAAAACAAAGAUAUUUUUAAUUCAUAAAUAGUGAAUAUUAUUUUAAUUUGUGUCUUAUAUUUUUUUCACUUUUUCUUAUACUUUAUCAAUAUUUUAAAUAGUCAUGAUAUUUCUUAACUAUUGAUAAACAUUUUGUAGAAACAUGGAUAUUUUUAAAUAGGAGAAUGAUUUUUUUGUAAAUAGUGAACUCUAAAUUCAUGAUUUUUAAAAAAUUUAUGAGCAUUGUUUUAAUUCGUAAACAUUUUUCUUUGUUUCUUCAAAAUCUAGUUUAUUGUCAAAGUUAAAAGUUUCUUACUCCCUCGAUUGCAAUGAAAUCCAAAUUGACCAUAAAUUAGACCGGUCAAAUGUGGACUAUAUGUGAGGAAAAUUAUACAAUUGGAUUCGUAUUCGAAAGUAGCUUUCAAAUUUGACACUAAACUAGACUCAUCAAAUAUAGAUUAAUGGUUUAAUUAUGAUCAAAGUUAGAUUUUGGAAUGCGCACACGCGUCGGUCAUCGCUAUACUAAUAUCUGAUGACUAUUUAUUGUUGGAGGCAAGAUCAACCUGAACUACGAGCUACGAGUUCUUGCAGACAUCCAAAGAACCUACGAGAACUGUAGUAAUGUAAUGUGAACUGCAAAUAUAUAGUAAGCACCAGAUAAAUGUGGGGGUUCUUCAUAGAGGAUUUGAACAAGGUGGUAGUCCUACACGUCUCGCAGAUGCGAAUUUUAUCAAUGCUAAACAAUGUCUAAACAAAAAGCCCGAGUCUAAAACUGAUGAAUGAUAGCUAUAUAUAUAGAGAAGCCUAAGACAAGUAGGUCCCCAGUUAUUAAAAGGAAAUAAUCGAUCUUAAUUUUUCUUGCGCCUGGGCUGGCCCACCAAUGUUGAGGUGUAUGUUGAUUCGGGUUGUCGAGCGAUAUGCGUGUAUGGAAUUCCAUCGAACCUGCACCUCCACGUACAUGCGCAUACACAUAUUUUAUAUGUUUCCAUCUCGCAUCUUAACACGUGGCUUCUACAAUUCUCUAUUAACUCUCCAUGAAUAAAUGAUAAUAUCUUAUUUCUCUUAUAGGCAACAAAUCAGUAAUUUAUACAGGUCGCAUGUGGGCCAUGGUUUGGUAAUUGGGCUGCCCAUAGCCAUGGUUUGGUAAUUGGGCUGGCCCAUAGCUAUGCAAGUUACAUGUUUUAGGUGCUAUUCUAUGAUGUGUUUCCAAUUUGACGCUCUUUGCUCAAAUAGUCGGCUGAACUCAUAAGCAAGCUAACAGAGCCAGCGAAACGUUCAAGAAGGUUCCGGUCCGUUUAUUAUAUGGUUUUCCUAAUUUUUUUAAAUUUUUAAAAUGUCCUAAGAUUUCAAGAUUUAUUUGUAAUUUUAAUAUUUUUUCAGGAAUUCCAAAAUUUGCUCGGCAAAUUAGCCAAUGUUCAGAAUGUUCCUAAAAAUCUUCGAAAAUUUCAAAAUUUAUUCAUAAAUUAGAAAAUGUUUGAAAAUUUAAAAUAUUCGGAAAUUUCAAAUUUCUAGAAAUAAAAAAAUGUUUGCGCUUUUAGAAAAUGCUUAGAAUUUUCAAAAAAAGAGUUCAAACUGAUUUGGAAUAAACGCCACCAUGUCUAUUCACUACAGUGCCGCAUCACUACAUGGUCACUGUUUGCUACAGUGUCGAUCUCCCAAAGUUGCUCCUGCACCUUGUUUUUUUUGAAAAACAAACUUGAAACUUUAUUAAUUAGAAAUAAUUGUUACAUCGUCUAUCAAGAGAGUUACAAGAGCUUCGAUGGGCUCCUCUAUCCAAUUUCUAGUCAUGAAACCUUUUGCUAAUCUAGCAAGCUCAUGAGCUACUUUAUUUGCUUCCCUGUUACAAUGUUCAAAACUGGUUUGAGGAAAAUUACAUGCCAUAAAAAAACAAUCCUCAAAAAUUGCAGCAGCUGGUCCCGUAGACUGUCCUCCGUUCUUCAUUGUGUCGAUGACCUCCAUAUUAUCAGAAUUGAUGAUUAGACGAUUGCAGCCCGUCUUUUGUGCCAACAGUAAACCAAAUCUGAGUGCUACCGCCUCUGCCGUGAGGGCAUCCGCACAGUACUGAAUCCUCCAGUUACCACCUACUAUGAAGUUUCUUUUGUCAUCUUUGAUAACAGCACCCGUUGUGCCUCUUAGCUGAUCAUGAUCAAAAGAAGCAUCCACGUUUAAUUUAACGAAACCCCUAGGAGGUCUGCACCAUCCUUCAUUCUUUCUCUUUGCUUUAGGAGAGUGAGCAUUUACAUAGUUCGAUGUUAUUUACUCCCGCACCUUGUUAAUGCUACGGUUGCCCUGUGAGAAAUGCUACCCAUUUGGCGUAGAAUCUGUCAAAUAGGGACUCCCUUUCCAUGAGCCUAUAUGAGGACCUUCCGUUGUACAACUUCCUCCAUCACCAGGAGAAUUUGGUAGCCCAUCUAAUCAACGACUCCAAUACGCAUACAAAGGAGAGGACAUCAACCAAAUUGAGCCCCCACCUCACACGGGUUGUGCCCGCUGCCAUGGAAGCACCCCGAGCACGCGUGAGAACAUAAAUAUCACAAGUGAAUUCAUUCACAAUGUCGAUGUCGAUAUCAAUAUAUAACAAGGAAAAUAUGGAUAUUGCAUUAUCUCACUUAGUUGAGUUUAUUGCUACUACCACUCGCCAACUUGUUUCACAAUACUUCAAAUCCGGUAGCACUUACCCACAUAGGCCUUUUGUCGGUGCCGGAUCAGACUUCAAAUCCGGCAACUUGUUCUGGAAUACCAUCGUUGUCACCACCUCGUCAAUGCCGCUAGGGAAACAAACCAAAGGGAAACAACAAGGAUCUACAAAAACUAUAAAAAAUGGAAAGCGACCUUUUCAAUUAAUUUCGUGUGAUUAUAAAUUUACAGAUAAGUGAUAGCGCGCGUUGCCACGCCACUCCGCUUUACACUAUAAUGUUAGAGGUUGAAGCAAAUAUAGAGGAAUUUUCCUUUGUUUUAGAAUUGGCAUAAGCUAAUAUGUAUAUAUUUGUCAGUAAAUUUUGAGCUUAUAUGUUACAUUCUAGAUAUGUUGAACUUUCUCUUGAGCUUGUUGUUCCAAUGUUCACAUGUGAGCUCGGCUGCGCUGUUUUUAUUGCAUUGCUUGCAUUUGGAUUCCAUCAUUUUAUGGUAUGGCUGCUCACUUAAGUUGCUUCCACGGUUGGGUUUUGGUCUAUGGUGUGAUCUUCUCAAAUAAGUUGCUUUCAUGGUUGGGCUUUCUAGAUAGAACAACACAUAUAGCCCAAUUAAUCAAACAAAUAAAAAUGGGACGGCUCCUGAUGCUAAUCGGAUGACGAGCGACAUCCGCAUCCAAGGCAAUAGGGACAAUUUUGCUUAGAAAUCCGCAUCCAAUGGGCAGCGACGACCAAAAUAUAAAAUCGGACAACUCUUCAUGCCAAUGACCUGAGAGAGCUCCUAGGAUGUCCAAUUUUAAUCUCUCUAAGUAGAUAGUUCACAUAAAAAUAAUGUAUAUUUUGGUCUCAAAUAAAGCAAAACAAAAAUACAUCAAUGUGCUAUAAAUAUGGAGUAACAAUACUUAAACUACAUAACUAUGCUAUAAAUAUGAAUAAACUAUAUGUAAUUGUAAAAUUUUAGUGUCUAUGAGUGCACUAAAAUGAAAUCUAUUUUGUAGCUGGAGCAAGUUUGCUUAGUUAUUUAUAAAAAGAAGUUUGCGACAUAGCUUCUUGACAAACCUAUCAAUGCAAGUUGAUUCACUUGUAGACAUAAAAUGGAACCCAUAAAAACCCCACCCAUCCACAAUUUAUGCUCUUGGAUACACCAAUGUAUUUGUAUUUAUUCACACCCAAAUUAGCCAUCCUUUAACAAUUGUAGCCUUUGAUCGUAUAUGUUUAACAAAUAUUCUUGUAGAUUUUGUAGAUCGUUGAUAUAAAUAUCAAAUAAAUAGUUCUAUGAAUGAGCUGUCGAUAAGCGGUUUGUUCUCAUUCAGUUCAGAUCCAAAAGGAGCCCCUCGCGCGAAUUUACAACACAAGUGCCCUUGUCAAACUUUCUGCACUCUAUUCAUUCUUAGUUAUUUUCUUUGUUCAUUGAUUAUUUUCAUUUUCACACAUGUCUCUGGUCUGUUAAACAAUUGACCAACCCAUGCAUGCUCUAUAAUUUGUGUGAUAGCAACGUUUGGAACACAUAUACACAAAUAUAAUCUAUUACAAAACAUACAAUAUGUUGGAGUCAUUGGGCUUUUAGCCCAUUUUACUGAUUCUAGUAGUUCUUAAAAAAAUCCUAGAGGCCCAUAUGAUCCAUUCAUGCAUGAUAAGGAUGUGCGGAAAGUUUAGUCUCACCCCGGUUAUGAAGGGUGUAUUGGACCAACAUAUAAUGUUGAUUGUGUCAUGCACCACUAAUAGAUUGCGAAGAAGACAAAUACAUGUUUGUUCCUUAUAUUAUUUUUACUAAAUGACCCCUCAAGAAACUAAAUCACUUCACUGACCCAAAAGAAAUAUCUUAUUUCAGAAUUUGGCCCGCGAGAUAGACGUCAAUUUAUUUGGCGUUUUAAUGCACAUAAUAACACCUAAUUAUUUGGCGCCGCCAAAUCCGUGUUGGAAGUCAAUCUAAUGUGUCAAAAGCCAAUGCCGCCAAAUAAAUUGGCUUGUAUUCAUUCUAAGAUUGACUUCCAACAUAGAUUUGCUGUCAUUGACUUUUGACACGUCAGAUUGACUUCUAGCACGGAUUUGACGGCGCAAAAUAAUUAGGCGUUAUUACGUGUAUUAAAAACGCCAAAUAAAUUGGCAUCUAUCUCGGGGUCAAAUUCCGAAAUAAGACUUUUGAAGGGUCGGUGAAGGAAUUAAGUUUCUUAUUAAGGGGUCAUUUAGUAGAAAAAACAUAUAUCCUUCUUCUCCGCCACCCACCUCUCCCGCACGCCGGGUUACAUGACCGAGCUGACCACGAAGUAAGACAUAAUGCCCCUCUGAAGCCCGACUGCUGGAUUCUCCUCCACCGUGGCUGUGUAUGUUUGGACUACUAGUAUUAGCAAUCGACAUGGAUACUUAUCAUGAUUAAUGUAUCGCAUUUCUUUGUAUGAAUUGCUUAACUAUUCAGCACAAUACAGUCUUUGUAUAUAUAUCGUUUCUCAAGUUCUUGGUUGAUUUUUGCUGUUUGCAUAUACUGUGAUAUGUUGCUUGGGCUUACACAGAUGAAUUUCAUAUGGAUAAAGAGUUUGGCGCUCCUUAACUUGACAUAACAUAACAUAACAUGUGAAUUGCAGCCUUGAAGGAACAGACGACCUAGGCAGCUUUUGUAACGACCUUUGUCCUUGUGUUGGAUGCGCUCGUUUCGAUGUCCUUCGGGGCAAGAGCGCACUGCAAAAGUGCCUGCCCCCAUCGCCUCUCCACGUCCUCACUGCCGGCCGGGCGGUGCCGGUGGGCGAGUUUUCUUCCGGAAAAGGAGGUUAAAACCCCGACUCUAUAUCACAUUCAUCUUUAUUAAUUAUUGAACAAAGGUACGACAAGAACAUACAUCAAAUCUUCCAAAGCUGUCGCUCGUACCUACAAACUUGAUAAUGUAGAGAUCCAUCUGCAUAAUGUAUCAGAACCUACAGCCGAUGUAACAAACCUAAAAAAUACAUCACAUACACACGUUUUAGAAGCCGUCAUCAUCAUCGAACGGCUGAUCCAUCUUCAGGAAAGAGAUCAUCAUUAUCUUUACCAGCUCGGCCAUCCGUCAACGUCACCACGACAUCCAACGGCAUCACCUCCAUGUGCAAACUGCUGAGCACGCGCGGUCGCCGCACCAUGCCGCCAAGUACCAUCAGCCGACACAAUUUGAAGUCCCUGAAAGACCUGUCAUAUGUAGCACCUGCCGAACAGGCAUGACACCACGUAGCACCUGUCGGCCAGGCAUGACUUGACUUCUCCACCAAAGUUUCAUGCAAGACGAAGCCGCUCGGCCUCCUGCCCCUGUCUUCCGGCGUUGCUCCACAAACGAUGUUUCCAAGAGAAAAAUGACACCGCAGUGUCGCCAUCGUCCGAUCUGGAAGACCAGAUCCGGAUUUUCCCCGGAACAGCACGAGUGGGUCGUCAGUAGUUACAUGAUGAUGCCUUCAUCAAGGUAACGACGCAGAAUGCCUGCAUUGCCUGCCAUCUGCUCGAUUUUCACCGACAACUAUGUCCCCCCGACACGCAGCCGAGACUAGAUGACGGAUCUCAAGAUCCGACCACCCAAUUUCAGGCCGACCACCUCCGACAGAGAAGAUGACCACCAUCGUCGGCUGCACCGGCCAGAUCAAAUCUGACCGGAGGCCAUAGUCUGCAUGCCGCCAGCCUGUCCACCAGACCCUCCAUGCUACAGCUGCCGACCCGAAGCCCGAUGGCGCGUCGCUGCAGGAUAGCCGGCCGCCGACCAGAGCCACCGCCACCGCCCGUGACCCGGGCCGCCCACUGCAUCUGCGGCUGUCGCCGCCCGUGGCAAGCCCGGCAUCCAUGCCGUCGCGUGCCGCAGUAGUCGCUGUCGCGCCGUAAAGACUGGAUCAGCCACACCUCCACACGUUUAGAGGCCGUGCACCACCCCUAAGACGCAUGAGAGAGAGGGAGUCCCCCACCAGCGCAGUCGGCCCGCAGGCUUAGCCUGCCGGGGCCCCCUGGCGGCGGUGGAGGGAGGGGAGGAGGAAGGUCAUGUCCCCAGCGGCUAUGGUUUGGGUGCCGCUCAAGUCGCCCUAGCAAGGACGACGUGGGGGCUGCGUGCGGUCCUUCCCGCAGCCAUGAAUGGUGCCGGUGGGCAACGUACGUACGCUGGCGGUAGCAGCGGCCACGACGCGCGGGCCACGCAUGGCCGCAUCAAUCUUCACGGCCCGCUGAUAUAUCGCUAACGAGAAUGUGCUGCUGCAGAUGUUCCCCAGCGACAGAUCGACCUCGAUCGUCUUCACCCGAGAGGUAACCGUCCAUCCCGCUUCGAUCUCGUUAAAGCUCAGGCCGCUGGCUCCCACGAACAUGCGCGCACGGCAGCGCACGCCGCUGUAUGCUGCUUUGCAAAGCUGUUCGUGUGCUUCGCUUUGGAAUACCGGAGCAAAGGGCGUCGCGACAAGCACCAGAAAACAUGCGUCGUGCA